ACACUCGUCUCCGCCUGCUCCGGCAUCUCGGAAGGUCCCGCACGAUCCUGCGUCAACUGAGCACGCUCCCGUAACAACGGUCGACCUCAGCGACGAUACAUAGCUAAAAGGAACAGAUCGGGGUGAAAUAAAAUACAAACACUCUCGACCCAAUCAACGAAAGUCUGGAAGGCGGGCUCCUGUUUUUCUUCAAAAUUAUAUCGUCUGCAGCCAAUACAAUUUCUCAGACCAAAACAGGCACUACUUCAAUCACUCACCCCACUCUAGGAGGAGUUAGAAUAAUUAAUCAUUGACUUUCGCAGUAAAUUACGUCUCUCGCGCCUUACCUUCCUACGGUUUGCCAACCUAGGUUUCCUAGGUCCCAACGACCUACAACCUGGCUCUGAUACCAACUUAAUCUGUCACGCCCCGGAUUACACAUUCUCCGGGCACGCCGACAAAUCCGCCGUAUACAAAAAAUUUCUUCUAUAUACGAAGCGAUAGCUGUACCUGUAAAACAUACAAUACUACAAACAGUAGUAUAGAGCUAUAAAGAAACUAAACAGGUAGAAUAAAACAAGUCUCAUAUACAUACAUAAAACCAUACCAAACGUACUCGCUCCAGCGAGUUACAAUACCUGUAUGUAUAUGAACUCAAAAACCAAAAGUACGACUACAUGUAGUAGGGGAUCCUCUAUCACCGCGACUCGUCGGGUAGGGCUCUAGCUCGCAACGCCCUUGCCUCGAUCCUGAUUAGCAACAGCAGCAGCCGAAGACGAUGGCUCAGCAAAAACGGGGCAACAACAGGGAGUGAGAACUACUGUAAAAACAAGUAGUCCUCAGUGGGUGCCGCCCUCAACAUCAUCGGUCCACCUACUAAGUCUACAGAAGGAAGCGAAGAUAGUAAUAAAUACUGGAAUAAAAUCUACAGCUACGCGUUAUUACACUAUCAUGCUCUAAACAUACCUACUGUAGAAAAGUCAAUCCCGACCCAAUCUCUUUACGGACAGUAAACAUACCCGUCCUAGGGACUGUGAAUACACCCGUCUCGCCCAGUUGGGACUAUCCAGCUACCUCCACACUAUCCAGUCCGUGGAGAGUAAGUCCAACCAACAAUGAACGACACCAACGUGAAAGCACAGCGCCCGUCUACGGAGUGGCACUCGUAGGAGCUACCCAAUCGAGUAUGCAGCGUAUCUCUAUCGAGCUCAAUCCGGCUCUCACAAGCCAAAGUUAAGUAACUGACACUAACUGGUCUAACAACAAACAGGUCAUGUGCCCUCGGCACAAUCCGAUGCCAAAACAACGAUAUAGGUCCACCGUCGACUCCGACGGUACCCUAACAGUCUGGAACAGUCUGAAUGCUACUGUAAAAAUACGCUAGGCAUCUCAGCACGAGCGUAACUGAAUUCUAAACUAUCUGGGGUAUCCAUCACACCAAUACUGUGAUGAUACCAAUUUACAACGACUCCUAGAGCUAAAUCAGGUAGUGUAAACAGGUGACAAGUCCAACUCGCUGAUUUUCUCCUAUGUCAAGUCCAAGUCCAACAAGUAUAAUUACUAACAAUUAAUAACAUGCUCCAAAUUCCAUUCAUAUGUCUAAAACAUGCAACAACAUGAAUUUAAGCUAAAACUAUAGUAACGUAUACAUACUAAUUAUACAUUUCGACAACGGGACUCUAGGAGUAGGAAUCCGAUGAUAACCCAUCUCAAAAGCUAAUCCCUGGCAGCAAAGAAGGUCACCGGAAUCCCUGCCAAGCUCGGCUGCAACCCACCGAACGAGCAACAACAACACUUCAAGGAUCUAGACUUGGAAACCCACAAUAAACACCAAUUCUGCUCAAAAUAAUAGCAGAGAGAAAUAGGGUUUCGACCAAGCUAACCUUCACCAAAUUUAGCAAUCUUGGGCUUCUUGAAUUCCUCUCGAAGUCCUGAAUCUAACGAACCAAGUUUCAUCGCAAUCCGACACUCCUACGUCGCGUACUAGCUGAAACACCGACAGUCGACGCUGGAAUUCUGUGAAACAGCAUCCUUGAGCUUGAAGUAGUAAGGACUUGCAAUGGUUGGGGGAACUUGAUGAACAUCUCACCUCAAAAGUUAUUCGAACUCCAGCGUGACGUCGAGAACGGUGAAAACGCACCCUCGCCCAGCCUCCACGCGAUGCUACGACGGCAACUGUACGCUCAAACGGCUCCGCGGCUUGACGUCGGCGACGAUCCGAGCUCCACGGCAACUCCACUCGAGCUCCUCCUUGCUCAACCAAUGCUAGUGAGAGAGAUGGAGAAGAAACCAGUAAACUCUCUCUCUCUCUCUCUCUCUCUCUCUCUCUCUCAGCUCUACACGUACAUAAAUAGAGAGGGAUGGGAUGGGUGAUACAUCGAGGCUCAAAAUUACCAAAAUGCCAUCUCACCUACCCUGGUGUUCCGGUACACGGUCCCGAGAGCAGUCUGCGCGCAGCCUUUGUAGUGUACCGGUACACUAUACUGGCUGUACCGGUAUAGCAAGCAGAGAAACCUACUGUUUGCAAAUUCUCUUGCCAAAUGCUGCUCUCGCGUCGCAUAGAGUCCGUUUUGCGUCUAUUUCACGCCAACGCUACUCAGACUUGCCCCGACACUCUCCAGAGCUGUCGACAAGCCUUAACUACUGAACAACAGGGAUAUCACAGUGAUGGGGUUUCAUAGAGACAAAUUUAGGACACAUUGUGACUCAGUUGGGCAUCACUGUGGAUCCGAAGAAGAUAGACUCGGUAGCUGAGUGGCCUGCACCAACCACUGUGAUUGAGGUCACGAGUUUGCUUGGUUUGGCGGGUUAUUAUUGGGAAUUUGUCAACGGCUUUGCCAAGAUCGCCGCACCGCUGAACAGGCUGACCAAGAGAGGAGAAAGAUUCUGGUGGACUACACAGUGUCAGCAGAGCUUUGAUGAGCUGAAUGAUAGAUUGACUCGAGCACCCAUUUUGAUUCUGCCGCGGCCUAGUGAGGACUUCGUGGUCUAGUGCGAUGCCUUACGAGUUGGUUUGGGGUGUGUUCUUAUGCAGCAGGAUCGGGUCAUUGCCUAUGCUUUACGCCAGCUGAAGGAUUACGAAAGGAAUUACCCGGCUCACGAUCUGGAGCUCACGGCAGCAAUGUUUGCCCUUAAGCUUUGGAGGCAUUAUCUAUAUGGGGCACAAUGUGAGGUAUUCACUGAUCACCUAAGCCUAAAGUAUCUCUUCACCGAGAAGGAGUUGAACCUUAGGCAGAGACGUUGGCUCGAGUUCUUGACGGACUAUGACUUCUCUAUCCAGUAUCAUCUGGGAAAGGCGAAUGUUGUAGCUGACGCCUUGAGUCAGAAACAGUCAUCAGCCGAGUUGUCUUUCAUGAUUACGAGACAAGAUCGUCUUGUGGAGGAGUUCCACCGCCUCGAGAUUGAGGUUGUUCCCACUGGGGCCACGGCUGAAUUGAUGACCCUGGUGGUACAGCCUAUAUUGACUGAGCAGAUUAUGCUAGGGCAGCAGAGUGACCCGCACUUGCAGAAGGUGUUGGCGGAGAUCAAGAAUGGUAAGGACGGGGACUUCUCUAUUCACACCGAUGGAUCUCUUCGUUUCAAAGGCAGGUGGUGCGUGCCUAGUGACUCGGAGCUGAGGAAAGAUAUCCUAUCCGAGGCGCUUCGAUCCCUUUACACGGUUUAUCCCGGUGGAACCAAGAUGUAUCGCGACCUGAAGCAGAAUAUCUGGUGGCCUGGGAUGAAGUUAGAUGUGGCACAGCAUGUGGCUCAGUGCUAGGUUUGUCAACAGAUGAAGGCCGAGCACCAACGACUAGCAGGAAAGUUGCAACCACUUCUGUGCCUGUAUGGAAGUGGGAGCAGAUUACUAUGGAUUUCGUCAUCGGAUUGCGUCUAUCACAGUGGGGCCAUGAUGCGAUCUGUGUAAUAGUAGAUCGGCUGACGAAAUCGGCUCACUUCUUGCCGAUGCACGCCAUAUGGUCCCGUGAUCGACUGGCAUAAUUAUACAUCGACGAGAUCGUUCGACUUCAUAGUGUGCCGGUGUCGAUUGUGUCAGAUCGGGACGCUCGCUUCGUAUUCUAGUUUUGGAGGAGCUUACAACAUGCCAUGGGUACGAAGACGAACUUCAGUAUGGCUUUCCAUCCCCAGAGUGAUGGUCAGUCAAAGCGAGUCGUUCAGACUCUUGAGGACGUGGUCCGCACAUGCGUCCUGGAUUACGGUGAUGGAUGGUUCCGGUCUCUACUACUAGUGGAGUUCACUUAUAAUAACAGAGACCAAGCGAGUAUCGAGAUGGCACCGUACGAGGCUCUGUAUGGGCAUCGAUGUUGGUCUCCUAUCUGUUGGGACGACGUCAGAGAACGCCAAGUGAUUUGGCCAAACUUGGUAGAGGAUGCAGAGGUGAAAAUCUGCAUUGCUAGAGAGCGGCUUUUGACUGCACGAGUCGACAGAGGAGCUACGCGGAUCAGCGGAGGCGUGACCUGGAGUUUCAGGUCGGUGAGCAUGUGCUGCUCAAGAUAUCGCUAUUCAGGGAGAUCAAGCUAUUCGGUUUGCGGAACAAGCUUAGUCCGCGAUUUGUUGGGCUGUUUGAGAUCCUGGAGCGUGUUGGUCCGGUGGCGUACAGAUUGGCUCUUCCUCCAAGUCUCGCCUGGGUGCACAAUGUUUUUCACAUGUCCAUGCUUCAGAAGUAUAUCCCAGAUCUAUCCUACGUCAUCAGUCCGACAUCUAUACAGCUCAGGGAGGAUCUGAGUUACGAUGAGGCUCCGUUGCAGAUAUUGGCACGUGAGAUAAAACAAUUGCGGAACAUGAGCAUUCCGUAUGUGAAGGUUCAGUAGAAAAAUCAUGAGGAACGAGAGGCCACGUGGGAGCUUGAGUCUUCUAUGCAGGAGCGAUAUCCAUAGUUGGUUGCGGGGGAUACUUGAUUAAGUUUCAGGGAUGAAACUUCUUGUAAGAGGGGGUGAUGUAAUAUCUGAGAUUUGAAUAAAGAAAUUCUAGUUUGAAUUUUGAAUUUUAUAUAUAUAUAUAUAUAUGGUUAUAUAGGUGGACUUCGGAGAGGAUGGGUUUCGUCGCAAAUCGGUGACCAAAUCUGGCGAAACAAAAUAGUAGUUUCGAUGCCCCAGUCGUGCUGAACGUGCUGGCGCAAUUCGUUUACAAAUCCGAUGGACAGAUCUCCUGAUAUCGCGUGAAGAUCGAGAAGGGGACGAAAGUGGCAAAAUGGAAAAUCCACAAAACUCCCUAUAUUUUAUGUACCGUUUUACGUGAUUUCGAACGUCGAGGUGCGUACGUGGUAAAUACACGCGCUGUGAGGGACGUAGUUAAAAUAAUCAUCUUUGGCGGACUAUCAAGCAAAAUUACACUUGGUUUAAAUUGGCAUUUAGGGUUUCAUGGAUGAAACCCUAACCCUAGAUACCUUCCUCCCUUAGCUAACCCCCUGCCACCCUUAGCACAUCCCCCUGUCCUAGCUGCGCGCACCUUAGCUGCCUGCGCACGCCGCUGGCCGUCGGAAUCCGCCCCUUUACCUUCUCCAUCAUCUUCUCCACCACCUUCCUCCACCUUUGUCCGAGCAGCAAUCUCGAGGGCCUCUCACCUACUGGCUCCUCCCCUGGCCGUGCUCCGACCCCCGUCGACCUUCCCCACCGGUUACCGCCAUCCCCGCGCGCCGCCAUUGCUGGCAUGGCAGCCUGUGGCCAAUCAAAGCCAGCUCGAGCCCAGGUAGCUUUAGCUCCUGGCCUUCGCGCCGCGGUAGCUUAGGACCUCCUGGGUUGCCCUUUUCCGACCUCCGGCGACCUCCCCCGCUGAUUGCCGCCAUCCCUGCACGCCGCCGCUGCCGCCCUGGCAACUUGUGGCCACUUGGAGCAAGCUCGGGCCGAGGCUGAGUCAUCUCCACUCCCACGCACCGCCGCCGCCUGGGGCCAACCGCAUUGCCUCCCUCCGGCCUCCAGCGACCUAUCGCCGUCGCCUCUGAGCGCCCCGCCGGCCGCCGUAGCUCCCUUAACCCGAGCCCUAGCAGUGCGGGCUCACCUUGCUCCGCUGCCUCUCCAGCUACCUCCAGCUGUUGGUUGACGCGAGCGCCGUCCUCCCCACACUGGCCGCAACCGCUUGCUACCGGCGCUCCCGCCGUCCGGCCGUUAUCGGCCAACCCAAGCUCCAGUAACCAAGUAAGCUUUGUUUAAGCUGUUCUGUGCAUCGCUUCGGGUUCGGGUCGCUGUUCCGGCGACCCGAGGGCACCCCGAUGCUUCUGGAUGUGAGCACGACAAUCCUUAAUCAGUGCUAAUCAUCGUGCUCAUCUUCUUUGGGGUCAGCAAGCCCCGGUUUGCGAGUUAAGCGCAGUUUAGGUUCAGCGCACAGUUCGCUAAAUUUUGUGUCGCUCCUACGCUCUCCACAGUGGACGGCCAUGCUCCAGAUCGUGAGCAUCGCCUCCGGCAUGUCAAGACCUAUCAGCAUGUGUCUCGGCCAGCCUCGAAAACCCUUGGUUUGUGCUGCCUGGCCAUAAAACCUCAAAAAUCACAUAAAAUAAUAUGAUUUAUGUGAUUGUAGGGACUUUUGUGCAAAUGUACACUUUGUGGCUGCUGUGGGCAGUGUGUGCGGGUGGCGGGUGAUCUCUGGACUGAUUGUCCAAGGUCUGAGGCCUUCGCGAAAAUUGAAUAUCGAUAUUCGGUGCAUUUUUCGACGAAAUUCGCCGACGAAACGCGGUUGCGGUUCUGAUUUCUUCCAACGAUGCAUUAGUGUAUCCUACUUUGUCACUGAGCCUUAUUGGUCGAUUACUUACAUUGUUUUGACGGUUCGGAGAUGACGGGUGAGCGACGGUGGGUUCCAGUGUCAAAAUUGAUACUUUCAAGAACCUGGAUCGGAACAGUUAUCCGACGAUAAUCGUUUCGAUGUGAGCUUACGUGUUUGCUGCCAGGACACCUUUAUUAUGGUGUUGUGUGGAAGCAGGUGACUCGUGGCGGGAGUCGGUGAGUCCCAGGACACUUCGUGGGUCCCGGCAGAGUCCCGGUGCGAUUUUCGGGACUUUCGGCGAGUUAUGGUAAUCAGUUUUGGGAAACCGAUUCUUAUGGGAUUAAUUGUGGGGUUGUGAGUUUAGUGUUUCACAUAAUUGGGUUGGAUUCUAACCCGUUGGACCCUCCAUAGGUCCGGUUGACGUUCUCCCACAGUCGGAAGAUAGGCACUAUGUUCGUACAGAUGGGUACUUCGAUUCGAAGUCAAUACAGUGAUGCACGCUCGGUGACAUUCUCUCCACGUACUCUUUCUUUACUAUUAUCUUGCAUAUCAUAUGAUGAGCCUAGCACCCCUUUUUGACUUCUUAUUAUUGCUCUACUUGGUUAUUCUUCAUAUUGAUAUCAUGAUUUACAAGUAGAGCGGAUUAUCAGUUGUACUUGAGAUCUAUGAUCUAUACGGUCGGCAUACUCUAAGGGGUAGGAUUGUCAGCUAGUUGCUGACUGUUGGUUAUUGAGUAUAUCAACAUUGAUCGCCACUACUCGUAUGCAUUUCAUGAACACCAGCGGCCUGAUCCACUGUAAGGGGGUGUUCUUUUCCUAGAAAGUGGUUGGAAGUGCGAGCUUGUGAGCCCAGAGGCCUAGUUUGGGUUAUAUGCAGGUAGAGUGGCAGUGGCACAGGCUUGAGGUCUGCGGACCGACAUGGCAGGGUAUCUUUGGGACUAAUCGUCCGGUUGAUGCAUGCAUACAGUAGCGGUAGUGGUAUAUGUAUGUCCUGUUUCCUUUAUUUGUCAUUGCUACUCUAUUAUCGUUGUAUACACUUUUAGUUAUCCUCCUUUACUGGUGAGUACCCCUCGCCCUCAUCGGCUUGCGGUACCCACUAGGAGGGGAGACAUGUGUACAUCUUCUCACCCCCCACCAUUUUUCAGGUGACGUUGCUGGUCCGAGUCGGGAUGGGGCGUGAGGCGCAUGGUUAGUGGUCAUUAGAAUGUUCCGGCCCGGUGACUUACGGUUUAAUUUCUAACCUGCUUCCUCAUAAUAAGUAACUUAGAUAUUUUCUGUUCAGUUGGUUUUAUUUGGAUAUAUGUGGUUUUGUGAAGCUAAUAAAGUACUUGUGGUUUUUAUGCAAAAGUAUGAAAAUUGUUUUCUACCUCUCGUGGUAGCUCGGUUUUAAAGGAAAGGAUUUUCAUGUGGGAAACGGUUUUAAAAAGGAUUUUUUGGUUUUCAUAAAUUUUAGUAUUUUAAAAUCAGUUUUCGGGUGAGAAACGUUUUAAACUGAUAGAUGUGGAUUUAUGAACAAAAUAUUGUAAUCUUGUGAUUGACCGAAUGUGAAUCGAUUUAUGUGAUGUGGUCAAUGUAUAUGGUUGUUUAUAUACUGUGGUUGUAUCUUAUACUUGUGCGACGCCGUGCAAAUAUAGGGCAGACUUUGUCCGUGUGAAUAGUGGUUUCCUGUAUUUGUGGCAGAUCUGACAUCCCCUAGGGUCAAGGUUUAAAAAAAAAAAAAAUUUGAGUACUUUCGCAUCGAUUUUAACGUUUCAAAAGGACCCUGGGGCAUGACAAGAAUUAUUUUUCUUGGGCAUGUGAUUUUAGCUGAUAGGAUUGCAGUUGAUCCCAAAAAAUUGAAGUAAUUCGAGAUUGCCCUAGACUUGCAAGUGUUUCUGAGGUGUGGAGCUUUCUGGGAUUGGCUGGUUUUAUCGUCGGUUUAUGAAAGGCUUUGCGAAGCUUUCCACACCUCUCACUCAACUUACUCGAAAAGGAAUAAAAUAUAUUUGGAGUAAGAAUUGUCAUAGAACCUUUAAAAAAUUGAAGAAUAAAUUAAUGUCAGCUCCUAUCCUCGCCCUUCCUAUUAUGGGUGAGGAAUUUGUUAUUUAUAGUGAUGCAUCAGAGUGGAUUGGGUUAUGUAAUGAUGCAGAAUGAUAAGAUAAUUGCCUAUGCUUUUAGACAGUUAAAAAAUAUGAGAAAAAUUAUUCUACUUGUGAUUUGGAGUUAGCUGUCGUAAUUUUUUCAUUAAAACUUUGGCGCUAUUAUCUUUAUGUAGAAUAUUGUAAAAUCUACACUAAUUAUAAAAGCUUCAAGUAUUUAUUUACUCAAAAAAAUUGAAUUUAAGAUAACAUUGAUGGUUAGAAUUACUGAAGAAUUAUAAUGUAACAAUAUUUUAUUAUCCUACUAAGGCUAGUGUAGUGGCUGAUGUACUAAUUAUGAUGAUUCUUAAUUGGGCCAUUGUUAGAGGAAAUGAGACGGUUAUAAAUGAAGAUUGCACUCCUUGCAACCUAAUCUGCCAGAAAGGAUUAAAAGGAAAUAAGGUGUUGACCCACAUUUAGCAAAAAUUCGGACAAAAUUAGGAAAUGGACAAGUGAAGAACUUUUUUUUUUUUGUGAGAGAUACGUAGCACGCUACCCACUUCGUUUAUUUCAUUUAGAAAUAAACUUAGCUGGAAAUGUGAAUCAAUUAGGAUUCGAACUUGGGUCCCGGGUACCAACCACCAAGCCCUUUGCCACUUGCUCUAGGGACGAUCGGUCAAGUGAAGAACUUUAGUAUUGAUUCCUUGGGGAUAUUGAGAUUUUAGGAUCAUUUAUGUAUACCUUUGGAUGCUGAGAUCCGUGAGAAAAUAUUGAGGGAAGCACAUAGUUCCCUUUAUACUGUACAUCCUGAAGGAACGAAAAUGUAUAAGAAUUUAAAAACACAUUAUUGGUGGAAUGGUAUGAAAAGAGAUAUCGGAAGAUUUGUAUCACAAUAUUUGGUCUGUCAACAAGUAAUAGCAGAACAUCAGGUACCUGUUGGCAGACUGCAAAAUCUUUCAAUUCCGGAAUGAAAUUGAGACAUGAUCACUAUGGAUUUUGUAACUAGUUACCAAGAUCACACGGUGGACAUGACAAUACUUCUGGGUGAUAGUGAACCGAUUGACAAAAUCUCUUACUUCAUACCAGUUCAAGUGACAUGGUCUAGAGAGAAACUUGCUUAGAUAUAUCUGAAUGAGAUUGUAAGAAUGCAUAGAGUUCCUACCUCUAUAGUGUCAGGUCGUGACCCGAGAUUUGUAGCAUAUUUUAGAGAUCUUUACAGACAGCUUUGGGACUCAGUUACAUUUCAGUACAGCCUUUCAUCUAUAGGUUGAUGGGCAGUUCGAGAGGACAAUUCAGAUAUUCGAGGAUAUGUUGAGAGCAUGUGUCCUUGAGUAUGGUGAUAACUGGUAUCGACAUUUGGCAAUGGCGGAGUUUGCAUAAAAUAAUAUUUUUCAAGCAAGUAUUAGAAUGGCUCAAUUUGAGGCAUUGUAUGAAAGAAAAUAUCAAUCGCCACUGUAUUGGAGUGAACUGGGUGAGAGAAAAACUCUGGGUCCACAUAUUUUAAUGGAAACAGAAGAAAAUGUUAGAAUUGCCCAACAACAUUUGCAGACCGCCUAGAGUCGACAGAAAAGCUAUGCUGACACAUAGCAUCGAGACUUAGGCAGCGUUUGGUUCAGGAACAAAGGGGGAAUAGGCCUUUGUUCCCCCCUUUUUUUCCCAAACGUUAUGUUUGGUGCCCAGGAAUAGUAGUUUCCGAAUUUUUGGAACAAGCUGGUAUAAGACUGGAACUGUCAUUCCACCUUUUUCCUGGAACAAGCUUGUUCUUUGAUGAGAACAAGAUUAAUUAAAGCCUAAAUUUAAUUUUAAUGACAAUAAAUUAUUAAUUAAUCUAAUUAAUAUAUUUAAAUUAUUAUUUAUUAUUUUAAUAAUUAUAUAAUUAAUUAAUUUAUUAUUUAUAAUUAAUUAUUAAUAAUUAGAUAUAAUUUGUUGUAUCCCUGAUGUUCAGUUUUUUGAGGCUUGUCGACACGCCGUGAGGGUGUCAGGACAAGUCUGAGUCUCGUUGGCGCGAAAUAGACGCAAAACGAACUCAGCGGGGACGCGAAAGCAGGAGUUAGCAUUGAAAAUUGCGAAUUGCAGAUUUUCUGCUUGUUAUACCGGUAGAACAUCAGGGUUGUACCGGUACACUUUCUGUACCGGUACAGCAUCGGAGGUGUACUGGUACACUUCGCCUGAUUGGUGAACAGCUGUUACCAUUUGUACCAGUACAGGUGCCCGUAUACCGGUACACGGGUGUAGGUGAGGGGCAAAUUUGCCUUUUCAUGCCUCGUAUGUGUCACCCACUCCUUCCCUUACUACUUAGCUGCGUAGAGAGAUGCUGAGGGGAGUUCUUUUGGUUGGUUUCUCCUCCUCUCUCUCUAGACUUGAUCCGAGCGUGCGAAGGAGCUCGGGUGGAUUUGUUUCGUCGCCGACGUCGCACCGCGGAGCCGUUCGAGCACACGAGCAUUGUGCUGGCUGCGUUGGGAGGCCGAGCGAGCAUGUGAUUCCGCCGUUUCGACGUCGCGCCGGAUUUGGAUUAGCGUUCGAGGUGGGUUAAUCGUCAGUUUACCUCCUAAGUAGAUAUAUAGUCGGCAUGUGUUUAUCGUGUUGUUUAGUAUAUUUAGAUUGCUCGAUUCAUGGAUUUCAUGUUAUUAUCUUCAAAAUCUGAAUUAGAGCUUUGUCUUUUGCUAGUAUCUACUACACAUGUGGGACUUGGAUAUGACUUAGGAGAAAACUGCGAUUAUGACCUGUCAUAUGCUUAAACUACCUGAUUUAGCUCUAGGAGCCGUUGUUAUUUUGUAUUGCCGCAGUAUCGGCGUGGUGGAUACCCCAGGUAGUUUAGAUCUCUGCAACGCUCGUGCUAGGAUGCCGAGUGUAUUUUUACAGUGGUGUUCAGACUGUUUCGGAUAAUUGGGUGCCAUCGGAAUUGACGGUGGACCUAGUUUGCCGAGUUGGCAUUAGAUUGUGCCGAGGGCACGUGACUUGUUGGUUGUUAGACCAGUUGGACCAUGUUUCUUGACUUUAGCCUGUGAGAGCCUAAUUGAGCUCGACAGAGAUACGCUUGCAUACUCGUUUAGGUCGCGCCCACGAGUGCCACUCCGGAGUCGGGCUUAGUGCUUUUGUGUUGGUGUCGUUGUGUCCUGGUUGGACUUGCUCUCCACUAACUACCCAGCGUGGUGGUUGUUAGUAUACCUUCGACAGGCGGGACGGAUGUAUCACAGUCCCUGGUGGGAUUGGGUCAGGAUUUACUUUUACUACAGUUGGUUAGUGUAGAGCAUGAUAGUGUAGUGACAUGUAGCUGUAGAUUGUCUUCCAACUUUUCCUACUACCUAUGCUUCUUUCUGUAAACUUAGUGGGUGGACCGAUGAUGUUGAGGGCGGCACCCACUGAGGACUACUUGUUUUUACAGUAGUUCUCACGCCCUGUUGUUACCCUUCUUUUGCAGAGCCAUCAGUUCCAGCUGCUGCAUCUUCUGAGGCUGAUCGUGGCAGGGCGUUGCAAGCUAGAACUCUAUCCGACGAGUUGCUGAGAUAGAGGAUCCCUGCUGUAGGUAGAUUUACUUUUGUUUGAGCUCAUGUACAUACAGAUGUUAUAACUCGCUGAGGCGAGUCCUUUUUGUACCUGGAUAUUAUGUAUGUAUAUGGAACUCGCUGUUGUUCUACUGUUCUUUUUCUUUCUAGCAGCUCUUUAUUACUGGUUGUAGUGUUGUUUGAUUACAGUUUCAGUACAGCUUUACUUUGUAUGCAGGGAAAACUUCUUCGCAUACGGCGGAUCUGUUAGUGUGCUCGGAAAAAUGUGUAAUCCGAGGCGUGACAUAAUAAUUAUUAAUUUAUUACUUAUAAUUAAUUAUUAUUAUUAUUAUUAGUUAUUAAUAAUUAUUAUUCUUAAUAAUUAGAUAAUCGAUAUUAUUAUUAAUUUAUUAUUUAUAAUUAAUUAUUAAUAAUUAGAUAAUUAUUNUACACAAUCCAACACCUCCCCUCCCCUCCCCUCCCCUUUCCCCCUUUGCACCAGCGAAUCCCACCUCUCGGGGUGUGUAGGAUGCCGCGAAGCAUCUUACGAAUCUGAUCUUUCUCGCCGAAAGAUAUAAAAACAACAAAAACCCUCUCUCAUUUUGCUUAGAAAUGGAUUUAGUAUCACAAAAAAUUCGAUCUUUAGUAGAAUAUUUUGAUCUUGGUUUCUCAAAGGGAGAACUCGUUCUUCGCAUUUGCUUAAAGAAUGCUCAGUAUACAUAUUUAAGCAUUGAAAUCGGCUAUCCUUUUCUUGGUUGCAGCGAUAUGUGGCACUCAAAGUGCAGAAGAGUGCGCAGCACUACACUGAAGCAGCAAUGGAUGAGAUAAAGAUCCUCAAGCAGAUCGCCGACGGUGAUCCCGACGAUAAUCGGUGUGUCGUCAAGCUCCUGGAUCACUUCAAGCACUCGGGGCCGAACGGGAUUCACGUCUGCAUGGUGUUCGAGUUUCUCGGGGACAAUCUCCUUACAUUGAUCAAGUACACGGAUUAUCGGGGAAUUCCUCUUCCGAUGGUGAAAGAGAUCUGCCGUCACGUUCUAAUUGGCCUCGACUACCUCCACCGCGAACUAUCAAUAAUUCACACCGAUCUUAAGCCUGAGAACAUCCUCCUUGUCUCUUCACUUGACCCUUCCAAGGAUCCACGACGCUCUGGGACACCGCCUGUUAUUCCAAACGUGAAGACUGACGACCAACCUCCUAAAACCACUGUGUCGACUAACGGCGACCUAACAAGAAACCAGAAGAAGAAGAUCAGGCGGAAGGCAAAGCGUGCGGCUGCGGCCACGUCAGUGAGUGGUGCGGCCACUGCUUCUCAGGAUGCUGAUGUGUCAGAAGAUAAGGGGGAUUCUAGUGCGAUGAAUGAAGACGACGGUGGCAGUGGUGGUGGAGAACAGUCUGGCGCAGUGCGAGGCCAUAGAAGGGGUAGUAAGGGAAUGAGGAGGACGUUGGUUACGGAGGCUGACCUAAGAUGCAAGUUGGUGGAUUUCGGGAAUGCAUGCUGGACUUAUAAACAGUUCACAAGUGACAUCCAGACAAGGCAAUACAGGUGCCCUGAGGUGAUUCUUGGUUCCAAAUAUUCUACCUCUGCUGAUAUGUGGUCGUUCGCAUGCAUUUGCUUUGAGCUUGCUACUGGAGAUGUGCUCUUCGAUCCACACAGCGGGGACAAUUUUGACAGGGAUGAGGUAAAGGACUUGAACUUUCUUGUACGUACAGGGAUGAUAUCCAGACAAGGCAAUACAGGUGCUGCGUCUGUCAAUAACUUUGACAUCUUACACCCUCUUCUCUAUUAGAAAGGGCAACAGAGAGAUUUACCGGCAAUGCCUGAAUGGAACAUCCUAUCUAAGAAAUGAGUUGGAACUUUCUUUUGUUUUCAUAUUUCCGCUAAUGAUAAAAACAACAACGUAAUCCACAUGCAUCACUACUAUUCACCUUCUCCACCGCUCGGGAUUCUGGCUUAUUAUGUCAAUUUGUCAAAUUUUAGCAACAUUUGAUUUAUUAUCUGCAGUAUUCUCUGUCUUUAUAAUGCAUUUCUAGUCUUUAGAUGAAUCGCUUGUUUGCCGUCAAGUAUUUGACCUCAGUAUUGUAACAACCUGUUGGCCGGCACUAGUUAGAGACAUUAGGGGAUAUAUUGUCAACCUCUCUGACUAGUGAAUGCACUCAAGUAUAGUGGCCUCCACUACUUGGAGAGGGCGGUUAUUUUACAAUCUACAGAGCUAUGGAAGAGAUGAUGUCAGUGGGGUUAAGUUGAAGUGAGAAUUUAACAUCCAUCUCACUCAACAUCACCAACUCUAAGGAAAGGCUUUUUAGGAGUUUGUUGUGUACGAACUUUAACAUCUGUUGGAUCAAUGUAAUACCUAGUAAUAGGGGACGCUAUGUAAUUAUCCAUUUGAGGCCACUUAGUGCGCUUCUUCCGCGCAACUCUAGUAAGCUGGUGUGCCUUGUUAUUGUACUUUAACUGCAUUAAUGUAUGGUGCCACAGGCCCCCAUGAGCAAAACCAAUGAUUUAAUCUUGCCUGAAUUUGGAUGGUUUUAGUGACAGGAAAUAAGUUUGGUUUCAGAUGCAGUUAGCACAACUCUUCAACCAAUCAUAAACAAUAAACCAAUAGAAAACCAAUGCAAAAUACCCAAACUAUAUCUGUGUGUAGCUGAUUUGGUUGGUGGACUUGUUCUCUUCAAUUUUGUGUUGCUUGGCUGGUUAUAUUUUGCAGAAUGCAUCAUAUUACAGUCUUGGGUUAUAUUUUCAGGACUUCCUGUUUGUUUAGUGGUUUCUUUAGUAAAGUCAGUAAUUUUGGUGUACACUUUUGGUGCUAAUGUGUGUCAGUUUCUUAAUUCUCAAACUAUUGGGGUCAUCACUUUCAAUUCCUUCUAUACUCUAAUCAAACACGUCCUAUUCCCAUUGCUACUGACAUCUGAGAUGUGUUUCCACUUCAUGAACAUUUCAACUGCUCAGUACUUAUCCUGAAUAACUACUGUUUCUCGAGUUACUUUGAUGCAUUAUCACUUUCUAUUUUGUUGGUUUUACCGCCUUUCCUUCCACAUCAGAUUAUCUUUCUUGCCUCUGUUCUUGCCACUGAAGUUCAUUUUUGUCAGCCUGCUAUAUUUUAUGCUUCUGUCAUUCUUUCUCUUUCUUUUUGUGGUUAAAGGUGUCUAGUAUUUCCUGUAUGUUCUGAUUCAUAUGUGUGAAGGUAGUUGCCUGUUUUUCUCAUAGAAAGCCUCUACUUUUUGGCAUUUGAAUCUCUAACUGCUUGUAGAAGUACCUUUACAGCACAGAUUCGUCGUGUCAGUGCCACACAGCCCUCUAAGAUAAAGAGCUACAUAGCCCCAUGUUGGUCCAGCAAUAAUCACAGUGGCUUAUGUUAUCACUAGGCUACAUGUUAUCAAUAUAAUGAGUGUUUUCAGCUGUCUGUUUGUUUUUGUCAUUUAUUUUUCCAAGAUUUACGCUUAUAAUAAUACAUCCAGUGCUGAGAAACUCUUGGAAGACAAUCAGAUCUUGAGGUUCUUGAAACGUACUUGGUGGAUUAAACAUUAACAUGAUAACGACCUUCUGACAAUUAGCAGUGUAAUUAGGCCUACUUACGCAUCUAAACAUGUAGAGGAGAUGAGGCUAUCUUGCAAUUGCCUUUGUGAAGCAACACUAUAUGCAGCAACCUGAGGCCAGCAACUUUAACCCCUGCCAACUGAUUCUAACUAUAGAUCAAGGUAGUCAUAUUUUUGCCAUUUAAGACCAAAUGUAACUGUGUUUCAUUUGGCGCUGACAUGGGGGACUCAUAAUGCUGUCUGGCCUCGUGCUGUACACUAAUCAUCUGCUGGGCAAAUAAGCUGCCUAUAUAUGAUUUGCAUUAUAACAUCGGCAUAUUGUUGUGUUAGGACGUGAAAAUAUUUUCCUACACUGCCUGUAUAAGCGAUAAUAAUUCUUUUUUAAUGCUAUGCAGGAUCACCUCGCACUGAUGAUGGAACUGCUUGGAAUGAUGCCUCGCAAGGUAAAUCAUCUUUUCUUUAGCCUACUAAGGAAGUCUCCUUAAUAAGCAUUGGAAAAAUGAUAAUAUGAAACUUUUGCUGUGACGGAAAGUUGGAAUGAGAUUAUGAGCCCCAAAGCCAAAUUCUCUGAGGGUGAAGCUUUUGCUUUUGUUAUAGAGGAAGUGUUUGGAAUUAUUGAUGAAAACGAUGUUAAUUCUUUUUCACUCAGCAGCACUUUUGUAGCAGCUCUAGCAAGGCCAAAGCAUUAAUUCAUGUAUUACUGUUCUCUCGCAGAUAGCCUUGGGCGGCCGAUACUCUCGCGAGUUUUUCAACCGGUACGGCGAUUUGCGGCACAUUCGCCGCCUGAGAUUCUGGCCCCUCAACAAGGUACUCAUGGAGAAAUACGAGUUCAGCGAGCAGGAUGCAAACGACAUGGCUGACUUUCUUGCCCCUAUACUAGACUUUGUUCCAGAGAAGCGGCCCACUGCCGCCCAAUUGCUUACCCACCCAUGGAUCAAUGCUGGGCCUUUGACUUGUGAACCAAGGUCUCAGCCCGAACCAACCCAGCCGUCAGUGGACGGUGUUUCUGAGAAGCAAAAGAAGGAGAAAGAGGAGCGAGAUGCGAUGGCAGUGGGGAUAGGAAAUAUUGCAAUUGACGGAACUGCAAAAGUGGGAAAAGAUUCUCCAGCUGGCAGUAAGGUGGGAAAGGCAGUUGUUACAUCUUCGAGGUAGGUUUUGUUUUGUUGCAUUUGGCCUUUAGAUGGAAGCUUUUUCAGUUGUUUGUAUCUUGGAUGAGUGGAUGGCUGGCUAUACCUUUCGGUUUUUGAUUGUUUUAGGUAUGGACGUAAAAUGGAAAAUUUUAGGUGUAUGUUAGCAUUCAGUUGGGGUUACUAAGACUGUUCCCCUUUUGACUAAGGACCUCUACUUAUUUUAUGAGGAGUUCAGAUUCUUGAGAUUCUUUUGAAUUGAAUUCAAUUGAAAGCCCCAGUUUUGGAGGUCUUUCCCCCCUCUUCGAUUGGUGGAUUGAUUUGACAGCGGUAUAAAUUUUGUUUUUAAAUUGAGUUAUGAUCAGAACAAUAGAUUGCCAGAAUAAUAUAUCAAAAUGCAAUUGCCUUUUCAUGGUGAAACUAUUAAAUUUGAAGAUACUGAAACAGCUUUCCAUUAAUCAUACUACAAUAGUUUUCAUUAAUCCUACUGUAAUAGGUUUGAUCACCACUGCUUGCGCUGUUAUCUUCUUUGGGCAUGGAAGCUUUUGCGGAACUAGCUUUCCACUUCUAUUUAUAACUUUGGCAUCUUACCAAUGAGUUGUAAACCACCAACAUCAAAUCCAACGCUGAAAAUCUUAGAUGUGUUAAAGCUAAAUUUAGGUAAUGAGUUAAAAGAGCCAACCAAUCAAUUCUGCUAAAAAAUCGCUUCAAACUUGUAGAGGAUGUUCAUUCUAAGAAGAUCUUUCCAAAACGGACACCAUUAAUGAACAUGCGGUUAUUGAAGAGUUUGGAAUAGCAAACUGAAUAAAAUUAGCCAAUCCUUCCAAGUAGUUCUGCAUUGUCACCGUUGCUAACCUUGGAAGUCGUAGCUCUUCUCCUGCUGAUUCUCGAGUCUGAAGUACACAUUGAAAGCAUAAGAUGCAUUUCCUUCGGCACCGCAACUGUUGUAUGUUGAAACAUAGCCAAGCGAAGUGCAAUCUGCAUAAUUGCGCUCGAAUAGCAUGUUUUCUCCAAUCUUACUGAGAUCUUUAGCAUUUGGGUACAACAGCAUGCACCAUUUCUCAGGCAAAUACUCCACACAUUCUUCGCCCCAGCAAGGUGCUUCAGAUGACAAUUGUAGAACCUCGCAGCAUAGCUCAUCUUUGCAUUUAUCUCUCCAUCAGCAGACCAAACCAUCUUCCCCUGUGAUGAUCGGCAUGUUGCUGAAGCUGAUUUUCUUCAGAGCAGAGACCAAGGUAUCAAAAUUGGCAUCAUUCAUCAAACACACCAUUAUAUAAACUCCAUAGUCAAUGAUUGCAGUUGGUGUGCCGUCAAAGAAAGCGAAGUCCAAGCGUCAGUCAUUAAGGAACAUCAGGGCAGAGUUUAUGAAGGAACUAAUAUUCUCUCUCUCUCUCUCUCUCUCUCUCUCUCUCUCUCUCUCUCUCUCUAUAUAUAUAUAUAUAAGGUACCCAUUUGGCUUUUGUAAGAAAAUUUACAGCCGUUUUACCCAUCAGCCCAUUAAGGAACAGCAGGGCAGAGUCCAACUCCUGGCUGAUCGAAAGAAGCCAGCACAGUGGGAGUUCACAACAGUCGGGUAAAAGGAAAGCAAUUAUAACUGUGGGAACCAAGAAAUCAAACUGGUGAGUAAUGAGGAAAACCAGCCCUCCAUUACUGAAUAACUAUCUUUUCACACCAACACAACACACACACACACCCUAAACCCUAAACCCUAAACACACAGUUAACUAAGGCUUCUUGAAGCAAAUCUAGCAUUGUGGAUGCUUUCUGUUUUAGUUCAACUACAUCAAAGCCAUAUCUCGAAAUAAAGUACAAUAAAGCAAAUCAAAACCCCUCAGGACACAGGUUUCACCCAAGUUACCUUUUAUAUUGGCUGCCGCACCUCAGACUGAAAAAUCGGACAACAAAAAAUAAUAUUCAAAUAAAUAUACACAAAAAGGAAUGCAAGGAACCAGCAGAUUUGCCAUACUUAUUACCAACUUCCUGAAGCAAUUGUUGUAAGUCAUGUACAAAUAAUCCUGACAGAGUCUCUGGAAUAAACAGAUAAAUAGGACGGAUAGCAGGUGCAAAGCUAGGACAAACAGAUGCUGAUAAAAGAGGAACCACACAAUGAAUAUAUUUAAUCUAAAGGGCCAGAAUGAAAUAAUGAUGAAAUUUGGCGCAAACGGGAUAUGACAGAGAUAGGCGACCUUUUCGCUUAAGAAUGAGCCAGCCUCUUGACAAUAGAGGCCAUAUACUUGCCCUGGUGCUCAGCAAGAGAGAGCUCCGUCUCGCUAGGUUGCCUUGAGCCAUCACCAGCAAAAACUCCGGCACCGUAUGGAGAACCUCCUCUAAUGUCGUCCAUCUUGAACAUUCCCGCUCCAAAGGUAUAACCAAUCGGAACAAAGAGCAUUCCAUGGUGGGCUAAUUGGGUGAUUGCAGUCCAACUGUAGAAGGAAGAAAAUGACAGUACAUACGCGUUACCGACGAUACUUAUAUUGCAAAGUUCACACUUUGAACUAAUGUCAAAAAAACCACACUUAAUAUGGCUUAUGGUACAGACCAAGUCAGUCACAAAUCUGCAUUAUUACAUUGUACUCUAGAAAACUUCACAUUUCUAAAAUAGACGGUGAUAAGCAAGAAUUUACUACACACAAAGCAUCAAAUUAUCCUCGUAGAAUUCAAAUGUAGUGGAAUAUGUACUGUUAUAAUGUAUUUUCAUAAACAAUUAAUUUGGCGAUGCAUCCUCAGAAAGUUACUGCUUUCCAGCGUGUGUUCAUUUUCAACAGUAAUAAUCAUAGUAGGGCUACUUAUGCUGCAGCCGCAAGCUUCUCUAGAUCCUUACCCACAGCUAGAUUAUAACUGAUUAAUUUUGGCAUUCCUACGAUCGUUAAAUGACGACAUCAAAAGAAAAACAUCAGCACAACCAGUAACUAGAACCUCAAGUCCUCAACUAAGAUUCUAGAAGUAAAAAUCUUAUGCUUAACACGCCAAAUUUGCUUAGCAAUCUCCUCAGCUAUGUUUCUCCCACACCCACUUUUAGGCACAUCGCUAUUUCAAAUCAUUUUUACUGCCCCUCCCUCACAGUGAUACUUCAUCUACUCUCAUGCCUUGGGCAACUAGCAUUAGGUAGUCCGAAUCAGUCAUUUCUGCACUCUAUCUAUUAACUGUUCUCCACGUAUCUAAGAAAUCCCCAUAGUUUUCUCAUUGUUGUUGGGCAUGUCCAAACAUCAUCUAGCAACUCUGCCACUUCCCAUCCAGAUUAGAAACCUGCAAGUCUCCCUCAAAAAGUAUCGCGGUACGGGGUGAAAUGGACAUAGUGUGUGGGACCUAAAGUGUUGUGGUACGAAGUGAAACGGACAGUGUGUAGACGUCGAAUCUAUCAACAAACAGGGUAAUAAGAAACAAGCUGCUGGGCAUUGUUUGUAACCAUAUAAUGUUGAUUCUCAUUUUGAUCUCAAUUCGGAGAUCUAUUUACAAAAACAUGCAGCGCUGCCGACAAAAAAUCUUAAAACGGAUGCAUUACACCCUACAUGUAAAAAUGUUUCAUCAAACAAUGGUACUUUGGGGGCUUCAAAUUGCGUUUCUUUUGUUCCCCAAACAACCAAAAACAAAAGGGUGAGCCUUGAGACCAGGCAUUUCAUGAGCCGCAUCACAAGGAGAAGACUUUCCACGACGACAUAUCGGUGUAGAGCUGGACAUUGGAAGGAAGGAAGACAUAGGUUCGUUGUUUGAUGCAAUGACAACAGAUAAAAAUUGUGGUUGGUGAAUGUUCGAAUAAUGGAAAUAAUAAUUCAACCAUGCAUCCAUCAAUUCCACGAAAACCUUAUUGUUUGUUGCACUCAGAAGCAAAAUUAAUUUAGGAAUUUAGGAGGAGUUAAAAAAAGAAUCAUAAUCUUACGCAGUGGUUUCCUGUCCUCCUCCCUGGGUGCCGGUGCUGACGAAGAAACCGGCAGGCUUGCCGGCCAGCUUCUGCUCCCUCCAGAGCUGCCCGGUGGAAUCGAAGAAGGCCUUCAUCUGCGCGGCCAUCGCCCCGAAGCGCGUGGGGAAGCCGAAGAGCAGCCCGUCGGCCUCCACCAGCUCCGGCGCGGUGAUGACCGGGAUCUGCGGAUCCUUGGGGGGCGCCUUCAUCUGCUCCAGCACCUCCGCAGGGAGCGUCUCGGCGACGCGGUAGAGGGCGGCCUCCACCCCCUCGAUGCUCUCCGCGCCCUUCUUCAUCCGCCUCGCCAGGGCCUCAACGUGCCCGUACAUGGAGUAGAACACGAUGAACACCUUCAGCUUCAGAUCCGACGCCGGAGCAGCAGCCGCAGCCGCGGGAGUUUCGGCGGCAUCGGUGCUGCUCGCGGGGCUCUUCUGAUCGGCGGUGAUGGGAGCGUCCCCCGCCGCCAAAGUGUUGCCGGUUGCCACGGCCGGCUGCCGCUUCUUGCUCGGUACGCAACCUCCUCCUUUCCCCAUUACAGAUCUCAAUCUAUCUAUCUAUCUAUCUAUCUAUCUAUACGAUCUCAUCAACUGGUCAAAAUAACAAAUGAAAGAGAGAGAGAUGUUAGGUUACAACAACAAGAACAACGAAAAUCAAAAAAAAAAAAAAAAAAAAAAAAAAACGCACCUUUUUAGGUCUAGAGGGUAUCAGCGGGAGAUGGCUCGAAUUGUCACCCAAAUGAAGCGUUCUCUCUACAAAAUCUGCCGCUUUUUCCCCGAAUUCUGCUUCCGAUUUCUGCAGGAAUUAAGUCUAAAUCUCUCACGGGAAUCAAAAUUUUGCCCGCUUUUAAUCCGGAACCAAAGCAACACAAUCUCCUGGAAGGAAAUGGAGUGAAUUCCUCCGGCGGAAUUCGCCAAUCCUCUCAGAAAAUGACCUCUUGAAGAACCCCAGAAAAAAGAAAAAAAAUGAAAUAAAAUCUCCCUUUCAGUCCCCUGGAACAAAUUAAAAAGGGACAAGUAGCAACUAAUUAAUUUCGGUAACUAAAAAUUCAAACUUUGAACCUUGUAACGAAAACAACAAGGCGACUCGAAAUCUCCACGCAAAAGAGACGCUUACAGCGAUGGUUCUCUCCUACCCCCGCCACCCACCUUUCCGGAGAUCCCAAUAAUGAAAAGUCGCAGCUUCUUCCCACUAAUCCAACCUCUAUCUAUCGCUCUGUUGUCUCUUCCCAGUUCUCACUCGCGGGCAUUAUUUUUCUUUCCUCGCUGUCUCCUUGCUGGCUUCCAGAAGCCCUGGACGAGGACGACCCGACCCUCCUUGUCAGACUCAGACUUCGGUUGGUCGUCACCUGCGACCGAAACCAAAUGAAUCAGCUGUUCCUGUUCGGCUCGCUGCGAGAAAAGCCGAUGCGCCAGUUCAUAUCUAAAUGCUGAGAUCCACCUCCUCCUCAGAUGCCACGUAUGGAGUCUGCGUUACAUGACCUAAACGAGCCGGAAAGUGACGUCAACUUCGCACGCUUUGUGGGCCCCGCCUUUAUUUCGAUCUCCUCUCAGAAUCUCUCUUACUUUCUGGGCCUUUUCUUUUCCAACUGCCCAGAGUCAAAGCUUCGUUGGACUUCACCAAUGAGGAGCCCAAUAUCAGCGACUCCACCGUGUCCCUGUGGGAAACAGGAAAAAAAAAACUAAAAAAAAAAACUAUUUAAAAAUAGUCCGUUGCAUUCAUGUGCCCGAGCGAGCAUGGAAGUUAAUGCUGGUUGGUUAAUUUGAGGGCAGCACAUAAACAUAAAUAUAAAUAUAAAUAUAAAUAUAAAUAUUCAUUUCUCCCGAGCGUCUACGCAAAGGUGAAUCAAGUAACUAUUAUUAUUCAACUAAUGUCAGAUGACGCUUGGCUCCAUUCCUUCACAUUCCAUGAGUUAGUUUUUAAAUUCUUCGAGCAGCACAAACUACGUACCACCGAGUUGCCAUUUUCUAAUCUUUAUCCCAAAAAAUAAAAAAUAGCAGACCUCCACCUUCGACUUGAGAGAAAGAGAAAAAAGAGAAGACGUAAUCUAUUGUGAAGAGAAGAAGGCAACAAAAGUGUAAUAUAAUUUAGGAAUUUAACCCACGCAAGAGAGGAUUACCUGACUUUGACUGGGUGAAAGGGCGUGCCCAAGGAACAAGAGAGGUGAAAAGGCAAUAUCCCGUCUAAUCAAACCUGGCGACCGAAGAAAUACUCAGAGUUGAACUAAGCUAGACCUGGCUCCAGACCUCAUAUCGGGACUGAUUUUCGUUUUUUUUCCUUUCUUUUUUAACAGGGAAGGCUUGGAUCGGGUCAGGCCCAGAAAAAAAAAAUAGUCCAUAGAUAUUGUCAGACGGAAGUAAGCAUCAAAACAUUAAAAAUUUUGGGCAGGUUCAUAUAAAUCAGAAAAAAAAAAAUAUAAUGUGGGGUCCAGCCCAACAUUUUCCCUACCUUGCUGAUUUGAAGGCCUGUCCCGAUCCAAUGUUCUCGGGCCGACCCACAGAAAUAAUAGGGCCGAACGGGGCCGGUUUUCGCGUUAGAUCGCGGAUUUUUGUUUCUGCUCCUUUCUCCGCCAAUAGGAGAAUAGACUGCUCUUCCAAGCGUCGCUUCCGCAGUCGCUGGAAGAGCGAUUGCCGUGGUCGUGUGCUCUUCUUCCUUCUUUCUUUUGGUUUUUUAGGGGGGGGGGCGGGGGUCCUUGUCUGCGUUGUGACUCUUCAACUCUGUGUGUUUGGCUUCUCUUCACUUUUUUAGGACAUGACAUUUUUUUGAAAGCUCUUCUUUUUUUUUCUUUUUCUUUUUCUUUUUCUUCCUAACGAUCUGAGAUGUCAAUUUUUUUUUUUAAAAAAAAAAUAUAGCAUGCUACUUGCUUCGUUUAUUUUUUAAAAAAAUAAAUUUAGUUGAAAAUAUAAAUUAAUUAGGAUUUGAAUUUGAGACCUUAGAUACCACUUGCACUAAAGACGAUCGGUCUCAUACUCUCAUCUGUCAAUUUUUAAUGUAGUUUAAUGUGGAUUUGACAUAGAAUAAUUAAGAUUCCAUCAUCGCUUCUUCUGGGAAAAUAAUCGGAAGAGAUUUAGUGUAAAAUGGUCCAAAGCCAGGCCCAGCGUAAGGGACGAGUGGGGCAAGGAGCCCAUGAAAGAGUUCCAGAAAAGCUAGCUAAGUAAUAAGCCGGUAAAUCACUACUACCUCUACCUGGGACGAAAGAAGGGAACUGAAAUGUAAUAAACAUGCGUCAGUGUACCUAACAACUGUUGCAAGUAGAUCGAACUACGUGGAAACUGACGGUAUCACUCGAAGGACUUCGUUGCAGAAAAAUAAAUAAAUAAAUAGUUUUUAAAAAAUAAAUAAAAAAUAAAUAGUUUUAAGGAAAAAAUCUCUUUUGCUGGAUGAGGGAGCCCAUUGAGUUACAUCAUUUAGGUAGUGUUUGGUUCGGGAACAAAGGAGGGAAUAAGCCCUUGUUCCCCCCUUUGUUCCCAAACGCAAUGUUUGGUUCCCGGAAACAAUAGUUUCCGGGAAUCUGGAACUAGCUGGUAUAAGGCUGGAACUGCUGUUCCACCCGUUUUCUGGAACAAGCUCGUUCCUUGAUGAGAACAAGAUUAAUUAAAAUCUAAAUUUAAUUUUAAUGGCAGUAAAUUAUUAAUUAAUCUAAUUAAUAUAAUUAAAUAAUUGAUAUUAUUAAUUUAUUAUUUAUAAAUAAUUAUUAAUAAUUAUUAUUAUUUAUAAUUAAUUAAUAAUAAUUAAUUAUUUAUUUAUUUUUAAGUAAUAUUUUGAUGUUAAUUAAUUGCAUAAUAUAAUUUUAAUUUCAAAUUAUAACUCUUAUUCUUCUUGUUCCAAUCUAACAAUCUAAAUACAAUUUAUCUUAUUCCUAUGAACAACCCAAUUUUCAUCCAAACGCAAAAUUGGUCUAGUUUCUGCUUAUACCUGAACUUGUACCUAUCCUUAGAACAAGCAAUUCUUACUUAUACCUGAACCAAACGUAGCCUUAGAGUUUUAGGUUGGAGAUCAUGUAUUUCUCAAAGUCUCGUCCUCUAAGGGGAUAAAAUAUUUUUGAAUGCGUGGAAAGAUUAGUCCACAAUACAUUGGACCUUUUGAGAUAUUAGAGCAAGUUGGACUUGUUGCAUACUGAUUAGCUUUGCCGCCGAGUUAAGCUGGUGUACAUGAUGUGUUUCAUGUCUCAACCUUGAGAAAGUAUAUUUUUGAUCCAUCACAUGUAAUAAAUUAUGUUCCACUGAAGGUGACUGAGGAGAUGAGCUAUAUUGAGUGAUUGGUUCAAAUUCUUACACGAAAGAUAAAAGAAUUGCGAAACGGAGUUAUUCCUUACGUGAAAGUAUUAUGGAGUCAACAGAAAGGCGAGAGGCUACUUGGGAGCUUGAGGAUGCGAUGCAAGAAUCUUAUCCCUAUUUAUUUGAGUAGCUGACUUGAGGUAUAUUUUAAGUUUCAAGGAUGAAACUUUUAACGGAGGGGAGGAUGUGAUAUACUAGACAUUAGCUAAUAUGCAAGGUUGUAGUCUGUAAUUUUAGUUGACUUUUUUUUAAUAUAUAUAGUGUUUGAUUGAGUUAGAGACGUUUUAAUGCAAAAUAGAUGCAAAAAAAGGACUCAAAUUUCAAAGAUUUAAUUUGUGUGAAAGAAAGUUGAAAUAUUGGAUAUUGAGGGACUUUGCAUUUUCAGUUGGUGGAGUCCAGGUUGUCAUCUCCAUCCUUAUCCUUUCAUUUUUUUUUUGGUUAACUUUGGAGAAAGAGAGAGAGAGUGAUUAAGUUAGCUAGAAAAAGAGAGAGAGAGAGAGAGAGAAAGAGAGGUGAGCUUGGUUUCAAGCGAGCGAGUCGAGCGUCCGUGAGUAUGUGUUUUUCUAUGGUCCGAAGUCGGGAUCCUUAUAAAUACAUAAUUUGACAAUUCUUUAAGGUAUACGUGGCAAUUUUUCAGGCUUCCACGUCUAUCUGCACUUUUUUACUUUCAAAUGGAGGAUCUUAGUCUAAAUGGAGGAUCUUAGUCUAAAUGGAAGAUCUUGGUCAAGAUAUAAUUCCUUCCCAAGGUUGUCCUUCCCAAGAUAUAGUUCUUUCUUAAGGUUGUCCUUCCCAAGAUUUGACUAAGAAAUUUUCAAAGUUGCAUCAAUAUCUCCUUCUCUCUCUUUCCACACAGCAAAAUAAAAAUAAAAUAUAUAUAUAUAAAGAGAGAGAGAAUGAAAGGGAGAGAGAUCCAAGAUCUCUUUUAACAGAGAGAAAAAAAGAGAGGUAAAGAAAGAGGGGUCAUCCACAUCUUCGAUUUGCAAAACAAAAUAAAAAAAAAAAAGAGAGCAAAAGAAAGAGCAAAAGAAGGUAGAAGAAAGAAAGUUAAAAAUAAAUAGAGAGGAUCAAACAGAGAAUCGGCGAACAACGCUGCAGGAGGAGAGUUAAAAAUAAAUAGGGAGGAUCGCACAGAGAAUCGGCGAACAACGCUGCAGGAGGGGAGGUCUUCCAUAUUGCAAGGGAGGAUCGUACAGAGAAUCGGCGAACAAUGCUGCAGGAGGGGAGGUCUUCCAUAUCGCACACAAUCCACAGUUUACUUACUUUAAAAAAAAAAAAAUGAGAUGGAGAAUAAAGAGAACGUAGAAGAAAGGUAGUGUGUACCAGAGAAACAAAGUAGAUAAGGAUUAAACAAAAAAAAGAAGAAUAUAUAUGAAAAAUAAAAUAAAAAAACAGAGAGAAGAAGAACUGUGCUCCUCCUCCUUCCUUCCCUGUCCGUUGACGUACUCGCUGCAUCCACCGUGUCCGCCGCCACGUCUACCAAACCCGUCGUUGCCCAUCGCCGUCGCUGCCCGAGGCCACGUCCACCGCGUCUGCCGCUGCCGCUGCCGCGUCUACCGUCGCCGACGCCCAACGCCGCCCGCUGCCGCAUCCACCACGUCCGCUGCCGCGUCCACCGUCGACGACGCCCAACGCCGCCCGGAGUCAGCCCAACCCGGCGCUGUCCGCUGCCGUACCCGCCGACGUCGCCCAACGCUGCUGAAGCCGCCGUUGCCACAGCAUCCACCGCCCAAGUUGCCCGACGCCGCCCGAGCCGCAUCCGCUACCAUCGCCGCCCGAGCUGCUAAGCCCGAGCCCAACGCCAAUCGAACCGCCGCCGCGUGCACCAUCAACACCAUCUUGCCUGUUGCCAUUGCUGCUGAAGCCGAGGUCGCAACCUCUCAAGUGAUUUGGUUGCUUCGGGAGCAAGAAAAAGGCAUUAAAGGAAAAGGGAUAAAAGGAAAAGGGAUGGAGUGUUGUUUUCUUUGCUUACUCUAAAGUGUACCCUAUAAAUUUUUUCAUGACAUUUUGAGUUAGAUUAAAAAAAUGAUGAGACUUACCUAUUGUUAAAAGAGGAAAAGAGAGAGGGGUAAUCCAUAUCUUUUUUUGCAAAACAAAAAAAAAAAGAAAAAAAGCAAAGAGAAGGUAAAAGAAAAAGAGUUAAAAAUAAAUAAAUAAAUAGUGUGUGUAUAUAUAUAUAUAUAUAUAUAUAGAUNAAAGCCCAAAAUAAGUGAAUUUUUUAUGCAAAAAGGCCAUAUAUAUAUAUAUAAACUCUUCUUUUCUGUUCGCCGCGUUUUCAUCUUACCAAAAAAUAAUUUAUUAAAAAAAUAAAUUUUUUCACCUUUUUAAGAGAAAAUUUAUCUCUUUGCAUUUUUUUUCUCUCCCAUCAAAAUUUUUUUUUAUUUUUUUAUCUUCCCAAAAAAUAAUAUAUUAAAAAAUAAUUUUUUUACCUUUUCAAGAGAUAAUCAAAGCUUCAAAAGCUAAGCUUCUAUCUCCAUUCCUUAGUUUUGAUUUCAUAUAAUUUUGAAGUUGGUUUUCAUGAACAAAAGAGUAAUGUUUUGAGUUUUGAGUUUUGAAUUUUGAGUUAGCAAUUAUUUUAAUAUUGAGAAGUUAACAUUUUUUUAUUAUACUUUUAUUUUUUAAAAAUAAAUUUUAAAUUUAAAGUAAUUAUAUAUUAAUUUAUUAAAAUUUUAUUUAUCCGCAGUGAAGCGCGAGUUUUAUACUAGUUAGUAUCAUAUUUGGGGUUUGGGGUCUUAUAUGGGUUGCCAAAUUGCAAAAAGACCCUCCCUCAAUUCAUAUUUGCAGCAAACCAAAGUCUGCUGCGAAACAGACUUGGUGUAGAUACUAAAUAAUUUUGUCACCGGUUACACGAUUACGCGCAGCCAAACCCGAGAGCUAUUUUCUCGGGUAACAGUACCGGUAACGGUACUAACCAGGGGUGUAACCGGUUUAACAGUCUUUUUUAGGACUUAGCCAAAUUUUCAGCAUUUCUCCGUUUUCGCUCGUUUUCGCUCGUUUGGCCUCCGAUUCGUCUCAAAUCGCACCGAGACCCCCAAAGCAUGUUUUCAAGCAUGUUUCAACCAUCAUUUCACCCACGCUUAUGCUGAAUUUAGUCCAUGGUCCAACAUAGCCUUUUGAGUUCCGUUUUCGUGCCCAAUGCGCACCGAAAUACCCAAAUGCUCCCGAACUUCAAUCUCACAUUGUUUCGACUCUAAUUCACGCCGAGCAAUGUUAAAACCUUUCCAACUCCCUUGGAACUCAACUUUAACCCUUCCAAUAUUAUUAGAAUGUUAAAUGGAGUUUGUCCGACUAUUCCUUUCGCGCGCUUUAGUCAAUUCGACUAAAGUUCGAUAUAAUAUACCAAGGUUUCGGUAUAUUAUAGCCAUUAACACCCAUAAGCAUGCAAGAAAAAAUCUAAACAAUGAUUGAUUUAAAUCUACGCAUGCGAUCUUGUUAAAAAAUUAAUUUAGGGAACGAAGUCAACCUAAUAAGGCUCUGAUACCAAUGUAGAACGUAGCGGAAAUAUUCGUUUGUACCUUUUAGCGGAAGCAACUUGCGUUAGAACGUGAUGAGCCCGGAUCGUAGAAUUUGAUUCACGUAUCCUCGGAUCGUCCACGAAAAUCUUCUAUUGCUCCAAAUUCGCGGUAGAUCAAACUACAAACGAGCACGAUUUCCAAUCCACCAUUCAAGACCCUUUAAAAUAAUAGGUUAAUGGAGGAUGUGGUUUCUACUUUCUCUCUUGAUUUUCUUGUUGUCUUUCUUAUCUUCAUCUUAUGUGAGAUUGCCCGUAUAUUUAUAAGGGAUUCCAAAAUCCUAAUCGAUACGUAAUAGAUAAGGCCAAGUCGGUUCAUAAUUGUUAUUCUAAUAUGGUUAGAGUUUAUCUCUAAUUAGCUUUUCAAUUUAAAAGCGAGAUUAAUACUAGUCCAAUUAGACAACAUAAUAAUCGUCGGAUCAAGCCCAAUUAUGAGCGCACCUAAUUCGAUUUAACCGAAUGCCGACAUUGGAUUUUUGAAGGUUUUGUUGAGUUUUCCUGUUAGAUUAGAGCAAUGAAAAAGUGCCUUCGAGUUUCAUCCCAUUCUGUUAUUGGAUUUGCAAUCCAAGGUGGAUUUAAUUUACUGAAAACAACGAAAUCCCUACUAUGUCUAUAAUUAUCGCAUGUUGGUGGUUAGUGUGCAAGUAUCCAGAUUUGUUAGUGUGUAAGUUUCCAGGUUAAAUUGAUAUUCCACUCAUGUUAUUAUGUUUGGUAGUCAGCAUCAUGGUAGUGGGAUAAUACAACCUGUUAACUUGAGUUCAUUCAUGUAUAUUAUACUAGUAACCAGCAUGUGAAGAGGAAUUACAAUAAUGAUCGACAUUAGUUCAUGUCAUUGCGUAUAUAUAAACCUACACUAUACAAUUCACUAUUUCCGUCGAUAUGUUUUGUCAUUAAUUAGCAUCAGUUUUUAGACGAUCUAUACCUAGGUUGUUGGGUAGGGAGUGAUUGAGAUAGUGUAGGAUUAUUUUACGUCCAAACUGUAGAUCGAAAACUUAUAGUAUAUCAGUUGGUAGAUGGAUUAGAGUUUUAUUUUACCGUGGAUGAUACGGCUUUUUCGAAUUAUUGUGUUACACUCUGGAUUGUGCCGAAAGCACAUGGAUAGUAUGAUUUAUGAUUUAGUUGAUUAUUUGUAUUGACUACAACCUGCAUGAGCUACAUUUGAGCUCAAAAAAGAUACACAAUGUAUGCUCGGUGGGUUUGCGCCCCUCGAAUACCGCUUCGAAGUCUGACUAUAGCAUUGAUGUUGUAGCAGCCUGGUGGGCAACCUACAUAUUAACGGACUACCUGCAAAAGUGGUACCGUGGCGAUAGAUUGAUCGGACCCUCAAGUCAGUGAAUGAGAUUGGGUUUUAAUUGUGAGCGCCUGAUAGUUAGUUGAUUCACAUAUAUACAUUCAGCAAUUUUAUCAAGUACAUCUGUAGUAUAGAAGUAUAGUGGCUGUAGAGUUUCAUUCCAACUUAUACCUAUAUCCUAUUGUACAUGUUGAUCAUCAUUUAUUUCUACGCCUCUAGUUAGGGAUGUAAUGUGGGCCGUGCCGGGCCGGCACGACCCACAUUUACCGGGCCAAAAUCGGCUGGAGGCCAGCCCGGCACGGCCCGGCCCCAAAGUCGGGCCGUGCCGUGCCUGGCCCAAAUUCUUGGACCCCGGCCCAGCACGACCCCUCGGUCCGGACUGUACGGCCCGUGCCGGGCCGGGCAGGGAUUCGGGCCAGCUCUUUUUUAUUUUAUUAAUUUUAUUUUAAAAAAUAUUUAAAAUUUUUUUAAAAUAAAAUUAAAAAUAUUAUUUUAAAAAAAAUAAUAUAUAAGUAAAAAGAUUUUAAAUUUUAAAAUAUAUUUAUAAAAAUAUUAAAAUUUAAAUUAUUUUAAAAUUUUAAAUUUUUGGAUCAAAAUGCCCUUCCCUACAGUCAAAAUUUUGACCGUUGGAAAGUGCAUUUUGGUCCAAUAGGCCCAUCUCCCAAGUUAUGACAGACUCUUGGGAAGCCCCAAAUCCUAACCCCAACUCCCAAAGCAUUGGGAGUUGGGGUGGUCAAUGUUGCAGGGAGACUUGGGAGUUGGGUACAACCCAACUCCCAGCCUGGGCCCGGCUCGGGAGGCACUUGCCACACGGGCCGGGCCGGGGCAUCCCUCAGGCCCGGCAAGGCUCAGGCCCGUGUCGUGCCGGGCCGUGCCGGGCCACCGGGCGCGGGAGCAAGGCCCGGCACAACCCGGUUUAAUUAGCCGGGCUAGCACGGCACAAGAACGACAGUGCUCGUGCUGUGCCUGGCCCGGCCCGUUUGACACCCCUACCUCUAGUAGACCUAGUAGGUAAGUCAUUGCCAUCAAUAACGGUACCUAUUAAGGACUAUUUUUACAGUAGUUCUCAUGCAUUCUAUUAUUAUUAUUAUUAUUAUUAUUUGUUAGAGCCCUCUGUGCCGAUUGCUGAUUCUGACCCGAGAUACGAGAAGUGGGUUAGUUAGCAUCUCCUUCCUAUGUCGACCGUAUUAGUGGAGAACUCGAUAGAGACUGAUUUUUUAGGGAGCAUAUUGUAUAUAUUGGGACUGGCGAUGCCAGUUUUACUUUAUUUUAUUUACAGUUUUGGGAGAUGUCGUUGUACUUAUGGUUGUGAUGUAUGUGUAGUAUAACUUCAUUUUUGUUAGUUAUUUUAUUCGAGCUCUGAUAUCUGUUAGUUGUAACCUUUAGGACUGCUAAUUGUACUGAUUUUUGAUGCUUUGUGUGCACAAGACUUUUCGUGUAUGGGCAGAUCUGUUGGCAAAUCUGAAUUUCUGCCGUAACUUAGGACGUGACAAUACUCGUGAAUGAAGUAUAUUUUUUAAAAAUGGAUCACAUAUGAAAAAUAAAGGUGUCCAAAAUAUCCGAAAUCCCAUACCCGAACUGGACCCGAACCGGACCCGAUAAAAAAUGAAUAGUAUACGGAUAAAAAAAAAUUACCCAUUAAAGUUUCGGGUAUGGGUCCGGAUAUUUUAUACCCAUACCUGAUUUGGACCCGACCCGAACCUAACUUUUAAAUGGGUAGGGUCCGAAAUAGUUUUCAAAUCCGGACUCGGACCUGGACCCGAUGAAAUAUUCGAUAGUAAAUAAAAAAAAAUAAACUUUUGAAGUUGAAGGAUCAAUUUUAAUAUGACUUAUAGAUGAUGAGUCACUACGUAUUUUCAUCCUAAGAAACCCUAGCCGUCUCUUUUACUCAUUACUUUUUUCUAAUUUUUUUACUCUUUGUUUUCUACUCUUUUUUUUUCAUUUCAUUUUCGCCAACAAUAUUUCAUUGUCAUCAUCAUCAUCAGUGUCAUCAUCAUCAGCAGCGACAAUAUUUCUUUUGAAUGAAUUUUAUUGGACUGUACAAUUUAUUAGAAUGCGAGUUUUUUUUAUAGUGGGCUUUAUAGUUUGUCUAUUGACUAUUUAAUAAAGUUUAUAAAAAAAUAUAUAUUUAUACGGAUAUCCGUACCCGAUCUAGACCCGAUCCAAAUCCGAUCUUGAACGGGUAGUAUACGGGUAGUCACUAUCCAGCCCCGCUCAAAUAGACCCGAUGGGUAUAUUAGUAACUUUAGUACCCAGAUCCGGACCCGACCCGAAGUUAAAUAGGUAUGGUAUAUAUAUUUUUCUGUAACCAUUUCUUUUUAGGGUAUGGGUACAGUAUAUUAAUUAUCCAGACCCGACCUAGUCCACGGACAUCUUUAAUGAAAAAUAAUCUUAAAUGGAAUGACAUUAAUUAGAAAUUUAACAAAUGAGUUAAUAUAAACUAUUAGGCCAAAGUCCGCAAGCUUUUGCCUCGGAUUAAUUUGUAGAGUAAAUGUGUGACAGCCUGUGACUUAGGGCCCCCCGUUUGGCCUAAAUUCUCAAAAAGUGAUUUCCGUAGAAUUAAUUUUGUUUUGGAGAAUUUAUUUUGGUUGAAAGUUGUAGAGUGUUUGAUGGAGUUUCGAUGGAAAGAUAUUUCUCUGAAAUGAUUUUGUAAGCUGUUUAGCAAAAAUUUUUGGAUCUUGGUAUAUAAUAAUUUAUUUUUACUAAAUUUUAUUUCUAAACAUUUCAAAUUUAAAUUAAAAUUAAAAUUUUAAUUUCAAUUGAAAUUUUAAAAUUUAAGUUGCACGAAAAUUUGAAUUUUAACAUUAUAAUUUAAAAUAUAUAUUUAAAAUUUAAAAUUUAAAUUUUAAAAUUUAAAUUUAUAAAUCUAAAUUUAAAUUUUUAAUUUCAAAUAUAAAAUCUAAAUUUAAAUUUUGAAAAUUGAAAUUUAACAUCUGAAAAUUUGAAAUUUAAAGUUUGAAUAUUAAAAACUUAAAACUAAAAAUUUAAAAUUUAAAUUUAAAGUUAAAUUUAAAUUUUAAAUUUAAAUUAAAUUUUAUUCUAAAAUUUCAAAUUUUAAAUUUUAUCUUAAAGAUCAAAUUUUAAAAUUUAAGAUAUAAAAUUUAAAAUUUAGAUUUUAAAUUUAAAUUUUAAAUUUAAAUUAAAUUUUAUUCUAAAAUUUCAAAUUUUAAAUUUUAUCUUAAAGAUCAAAUUUUAAAAUUUAAGAUAUAAAAUUUAAAAUUUAGAUUUUAAAUUUAAAUUUUAAAUUUAAUAUCUAAAUUUUUAAUUUUAUAUUUUGAAUUUAUAAAUUUAAAAUUUAGAAUUUUGAAAUUUAAAAUUCAAAUAUAAAUUUAAAAUGUAACAUUAAAAUUUGAAUUUAAAUUUAAAAAUUUAAAUCUAAAAUUGAAAUAAAAAUUUAAUGUUUGAAUUCAAAAUCAGAAUCAGAUUAAAAAACAUGUUUUAACUAUAUUUGAUUUUGGGCCUCGAAAAUUAAAAAAACUGAUUUUAAAAAUUAGAAUCAGAUUUGGAAACGAGUUUGUCAAAUGCUCUAUUGAGCCAAGAAUUAUUUUUUGAUCCAAAAUCACCUUUUAGAAGUUUUGACCGUUUGGUUUGGAGUAAGUGGAAGAGUAAAACUCAAGUUCCAUCACUUUCAGCGUUUGUUUUGGUACAAGCCCAAAAAAGAACGUAACCUAAGUUAUGUUAAUUAGAACUUCAUUUUACCUACUGUCUACUUCUUCCUUUAGAGUGCUGAACUCAAGUUCCACCAUACUCAACCUUCUCUAAAAAAUUAAUUAAAUAUUUAAAACCUAAACGUUACUUUACAAUGAGUUAGAAUUACCUCUUUACAAUGAUUAGGCUUACCUUUAAAUAAUAAUGAAGAAUUUAAUAAUUUAAUAUGUUGGAUUUGUGGGGGUAAGUUUAUUACUAUAUUUAAAAGAUAAUUAGAUUUAUUUACUUACAUCAANAGAAUUUAUUUUGGUUGAAAGUUGUAGAGUGUUUGAUGGAGUUUCGAUGGAAAGAUAUUUCUCUGAAAUGAUUUUGUAAGCUGUUUAGCAAAAAUUUUUGGAUCUUGGUAUAUAAUAAUUUAUUUUUACUAAAUUUUAUUUCUAAACAUUUCAAAUUUAAAUUAAAAUUAAAAUUUUAAUUUCAAUUGAAAUUUUAAAAUUUAAGUUGCACGAAAAUUUGAAUUUUAACAUUAUAAUUUAAAAUAUAUAUUUAAAAUUUAAAAUUUAAAUUUUAAAAUUUAAAUUUAUAAAUCUAAAUUUAAAUUUUUAAUUUCAAAUAUAAAAUCUAAAUUUAAAUUUUGAAAAUUGAAAUUUAACAUCUGAAAAUUUGAAAUUUAAAGUUUGAAUAUUAAAAACUUAAAACUAAAAAUUUAAAAUUUAAAUUUAAAGUUAAAUUUAAAUUUUAAAUUUAAAUUAAAUUUUAUUCUAAAAUUUCAAAUUUUAAAUUUUAUCUUAAAGAUCAAAUUUUAAAAUUUAAGAUAUAAAAUUUAAAAUUUAGAUUUUAAAUUUAAAUUUUAAAUUUAAUAUCUAAAUUUUUAAUUUUAUAUUUUGAAUUUAUAAAUUUAAAAUUUAGAAUUUUGAAAUUUAAAAUUCAAAUAUAAAUUUAAAAUGUAACAUUAAAAUUUGAAUUUAAAUUUAAAAAUUUAAAUCUAAAAUUGAAAUAAAAAUUUAAUGUUUGAAUUCAAAAUCAGAAUCAGAUUAAAAAACAUGUUUUAACUAUAUUUGAUUUUGGGCCUCGAAAAUUAAAAAAACUGAUUUUAAAAAUUAGAAUCAGAUUUGGAAACGAGUUUGUCAAAUGCUCUAUUGAGCCAAGAAUUAUUUUUUGAUCCAAAAUCACCUUUUAGAAGUUUUGACCGUUUGGUUUGGAGUAAGUGGAAGAGUAAAACUCAAGUUCCAUCACUUUCAGCGUUUGUUUUGGUACAAGCCCAAAAAAGAACGUAACCUAAGUUAUGUUAAUUAGAACUUCAUUUUACCUACUGUCUACUUCUUCCUUUAGAGUGCUGAACUCAAGUUCCACCAUACUCAACCUUCUCUAAAAAAUUAAUUAAAUAUUUAAAACCUAAACGUUACUUUACAAUGAGUUAGAAUUACCUCUUUACAAUGAUUAGGCUUACCUUUAAAUAAUAAUGAAGAAUUUAAUAAUUUAAUAUGUUGGAUUUGUGGGGGUAAGUUUAUUACUAUAUUUAAAAGAUAAUUAGAUUUAUUUACUUACAUCAAAUCAAACAAUAGAACUAAAAAAACUAGUUACACUAGUAUCAAGUUACACCAAAACAAACAAAAAAAUUAUUUAAAUUUAAUUUUCAGUAUGUAUGAGUCACAUCAAAAUAAACAACGAAAAAAUAACUAGAGAAAACUUCAAAAACCCCCCCUGUGGUUUCGUGCAUUCUCACUUUGCUACCCUGUGGUUUAAAACGUAUCAAUUUGCCCCCCUAUGGUUUCGUUUUUAUCUUUUUGCUAUCAAUUUUAUUAUUAUUAUUUUUUUAAAUCAGUGACAAAGUUAAAAUUAAAGGAUACUAAAGUGACUAUUCGAUAAAUAUAGAUGAUUAUCUGAAGUUUUUUGUAUAUAAUUUAACGAAAUAUUAACGAAAAAGCUUCCGAAAAGAUAAAAAUGAAACCACAGGGGGGUAAAUUGAUACGUUUUAAACCACGGGGUAGCAAAGUGAGAAUGCACGAAACCACAGGGGGGGUUUUUGAAAUUUUCCCAAAUAACUAUACUUCAAGAAAAUUUCAACACCACUAUAGUUGAGUUACGUUGAAUCUGGUGAUUCAUCAAUCCAAACACCUCCUGAGCAAAACACCCACUUACAUGGAUUACAAGCUAGAUCAAAACUCUCUGAUGCUUAGAUCAAAACUCUCUGACGCUUAAUUGGAUGGUGUUGGGAGCCGAAUUUCCCGACCCUAGACCCGAUCAAAGAUCCUCCUCGGGAAGCGCGUCGGGGUGAGGAACGGCUGCGGAUAGUGACCCUCGAAGUUUGCACCCUUCGACAGAUCAAGCGAUUCGGCUGACGAGAGAUCGGAUCAGCCGAGUUCGAAAACCUUUACCGUAGAAUCGGUUCGGCUGGAUGAGCUGAAUGUAUGAACUGUGCAGGAAUCAAUGUCGGCAGAAGAGCCGAUUAGAAGAAGUACACAGUAACUGAUCGGCUGAAAGAGCCGAAUAAAUGAAAUACACAAUAACUGGUCGGCUGAAAGAGCCGAAUAUAUAUAUAUAUAUAUAUAUAUAUUAAUUAAUUAAACAAAGUGUGCCCAAAGGGCAUACAGAUUCUGCAAAUAUAGUUUGCAACAGAGUGAUGCCCAUGGGGCAGACAGACUCUGCAAAUGUAGUCUACAACGGAGUGAUGCCCGUGGGGCAGACAAACUCUAGGGUUCUACUUAGCGAACUACUCCUAGAAAAGCAGUAAAUGUGGAAAAGAAAAAGAUUACAUUUAGACUACUCCUAUAAAAGCGAUAAAAUGUAGAGAAAAUAAAAGUGGUCUUUUGUUCACAGGGGAAAAUACAUUUAUUACAGGCUUUGAAGUUACUAUUUAUAGUGAUGUCUUCUCGGCCCACAUUAUUGGUCGGUUGAAAGUAGUGGGGGGAGUGGUUGUAACCAUAAUCGUGGAAGUUACGCCGACUCCUCAUGAAAGUUACGCUCUAUCAUGGAAGUUAUGCCCACUUUUCAAACGUUCCUGCCUAAAACCUUCAUGCGCCUUAUUGCCGACUCCUGAUAUACCACGUGUCCUUAUUUGCUCAUACGUGGUUAAUUUCAAUUUUGGCAUCAACAGAUGGAUAUGCUACUUGCUCUCUUGAUGAUUGUAGGUUGUCAAGAUUAUUCUUGAAUUAUUAUUUCUAUUGACUCAAGUUUUUGAAGCUUAAGUUUUGUCAUUUUAAAGAACUUUAAAUUUAAUAUCUUUUGCAUGUUUACCCAUUAACAAAAUAUAAUAUGAACAAAUAUUUUAGAACUUUGUUCGAUAUGAAUUCAAUUAAGCCCAACAUUAAAUGUCAUAAAUGAACAACUAUGUAUGGGGCCAUACCAUAUAAUUGACUCGUGUUACAAAUAUAAAACUGGUAGGUGAAAAGGGCAAAAUAUCUACUGUUAAAAAGAAUGGUUAAUUCCACACCAGGACAAAGAAGCGAGCAGUACUGGACACUGCAUACAGUUUCUGUUGCCAUUUCGGUGAGAAUAAUUUGGAUACUGUUCAGCAUAAAAUUAUAGACUUACAUAAGGAAUUAAUUGAAGAGGAUCAAAAGCAAAAUGUUUUAAAGCAAAGUAUUUAGUAACUUAAUAAUCUAAUUAGUGAAAAAAAAGUUGAAUGAGGAAAUAAGUUGUGAACGAGUAGGAUUCCCUAGGCAGCAUUUGGUUCGAGAACAGAGGAAAAAUAACCUUUUGUUCCCGAUUUAUUUCUAAACGUAAAUUUUAUACUCAAGAACAGUAAUUUUCAGAUCUCUACAAUAAGCUAGUAUAAUUCGAUAUAAGUCUAUAAUUGUUGUUCCUGUUAAAGAUAUGCCUUUUUUUUUAUUAGUUUGAUUUAUACACCCGAUUUAUGGAAAAAUAAAAAGGAUCUCAUGAGGAUUUAUUUUGAUGGAUUCUAAUUUAUAUUGGAAUCCUAAGUGGACUAGAAUUGGUUUUCAUAUGAGACUAUAUUCAAUUAUCAUAUCGAAUUAGAGUAGGAUUGAACUAAUACAUCCAUGUAUAAAUAUGCAUUGGAACGUACAGUGUAGAGCUGUGUGGUGGCCAAAAUUAAUUAGAGACGCUAAUUAAUUAAAGGUGGCCGGCUCUACUGGAGAGAUGUACGGUUUCGCGGGUGCAUGGUGUAGAGGCCAAAUUAAUUAGCAUUCGGUAACUAGCUAAUUAAUUAAGGUGCCCGUCCGUACGGUAGCAAGAGAAGGAGGUUGCUCGCAUGCGACGGAUUGAGGUUGGCGGCGGAGCGGCGGUUCUCGACUAAUUGUCUGAGCGGUUCGCAUUCUUCAAAACAACGGCAUAAAGGAAUUUGAUUAGAGUUUCUAUACUUCUCUAAUUUGGUCUUCUCGGUUUUACGAAAAACUUUUUCGGUAUUUUCUUGGAGUUUUCGUUGGAACAAGAGAAAUGUGGGAUUCACCAUAAGGCUCUUGGUUUUUUAUCCGGAGAAGACAUAAGGUAUAAGCUUAUACUUCUAUUUUUUCAUAUAGUGGAAUACAUCUUUCUCACUCUUCCCGUGGAUGUAGGCAAUUGCCAAACCACGUAAAUCUUAGUUUCUUUUUUCUGCAUUUAUUUUUUCUUUUACCGUUCGUUUGAUGUUUUCUCUAUUUUCGUGCAUCUUUGUUGGUAGCGCAUGACGGACGAUCCAUCCGAUUCCCAACAAGUGGUAUCAGAGAUUAAGAUUCGCGCUACAUCAGAGAUGUCGAAGGUCUCGUCUUCUAAGUUUGAGGUGGAGAAAUUUGACGGUAAAGAAAACUUCGGUCUUUGGCAGAGAAGAGUGAAAGCCUUUCUGGUUCAACAGGGUCUUCAUAAGGCGUUGCUCGAAAAAUCGAAAAAGCCGACAUCGAUAAGCGACGAAGAUUGGGAGGAUAUUGAUCUGUGGGCGGUGAAUACAAUUAUAUUGUGUCUAACAGAUGAGGUGAUGUAUAACGUCAUGGACGAAAAACUACAGUCGGCAUGUGGAACAAACUAGAGAAGCUGUACAUCACAAAAAGCCUCUCAAACGUGCUGUACCUAAAGCAAAAAUUAUAUGGGCUACGCAUGAAGGAAGGUACGACAAUAACGAAACACUUGAACACCUUUAAUAAAAUUAUUGCAGAUUUGCUCAGCAUUAAUGUCAAGAUUAACGAGGAUGAUAAGGCGUUGAUUUUUCUUACAUCACUUCCGUCGUCCUACAAUCACUUGGUGACCACCGUACUGUACGGAAAGCAAACUCUAAAGAUGGAAAAUGUUACAUCGAUACUUUUAUCUAAAGAGAUUAGCUUGCAGGCGAGCACCGAAAAAAGCAGUGUAGGUUUGGUCGUAAAUGAUACAGGUGGAGGAAGGGGACGAUUAAGCGAACGUGGUGAAGGUAAAGGAAGAUCCCGUUCCAAGUCAAAAUCAAUAAAGAUGAAGUGUUACUUCUGCAAGAAAGAGGGCCACGUGAAAAGAAACUGCGAGAAGAGGAAGGUUUGGCUGCAAAAACUAGAUUCCUCUGCAGAUACGGCGAGCGUAGCUAGCGACACUAGUCAGGAUGUUUUGACGGUUUCUACAGGUUCAGAAUCUCUCAAUGACUGGAUAUUGGAUUCGGGUUGUUCUUGUCACAUGACUCCGGACAGAUCUUUAUUUGAUACUUAUAAAUCUUGUGAAAGCGGUAGUGUUAUGAUGGGCAAUCGCACUAGCUGCAAGAUGGUCGGUAUCGGAACAGUAAAAAUAAAGAUGUUUGAUGGUGUGGUGAGAACGUUGACGAAUGUGAGACACAUUCCGGUUCUUAGAUUGAAUUUGAUAUCGCUUCGUACUCUUGACUCUAUUGGCUGUUCUAUUAGCAUUUCAGGUGGAGUCGUCAAGGUGAAAAAGAGUGCUAUGGUAGUCAUGAAGGGAGAGAAGGAGGGGAAUCUGUACAAGCUGAUCGGUAAGCCGGUAACAGCGGAGAAGUCUAGGCAUUCUUUAGACUUCGCUAACCUGCAUGACUGUUAAUGUCAAGAUGCCUCAGGGAAAGGGAGUGAUAAGAUGAGAGAGAAUAAUGAAAUAAAAAAAAAGUCAAUGUGGAGAAUGUUAAAGAUAUGCUUUCUUUUUUAUUGGUUUGGUUCAUACAUCGGGUUUAUGAAAAAAUAAAAAGGAUCUCAUGAGGGUUUAUUUUGGUGGAUUCUAAUUUAUAUUGGAAUCCUAAGUGGACUAGGAUUGGUUUCCAUAUAAGACUCUAUAUUCAAUUAUCAUAUCGAAUUAGAGUAGGAUUGAACUAAUGCAUCCAUGUAUAAAUAUGCAUUGGAACGUACGGUGUAGAGCCGUGUGGUGGCCAAAAUUAAUUAGAGACGCUAAUUAAUUAAAGGUGGCCGGCUCUAAUAGAGGGAUGUACGGCGUCGUGGGUGCAUGGUGUGGAGGCCAAAUUAAUUAGCAUUCGGUGCCUAGCUAAUUAAUUAAGGUGCCCGUCCGUACGGUAGCAAGAGAAGGGAGGUUGCUCGCAUGCGACGGAUUGAGGUCGGCGGCGGAGCGGCGGUUCUCGACCAAUUACCUGAGCGGUUCAGAUUCUUCGAAGCAACGGCAUAAAGAAAUUUGGUUAGAGUUUCUAUACUUCUCUAAUUUGGUCUUCUCGGUUUUACGAAAAGCUUUUUCGGUAUUUACUUGGAGUUUUCGUUGGAACAAGAGAAAUGUGGGAUUUACUAUAAGGCUCUUGAUUUUUUAUCCGGAGAAGACAUAAGGUGUAAGCUUGUACUUCUAAUUUUUCAUAUAGUAGAAUACAUCUCUCUCGCUCUUCCCGUGGACGUAGGCAAUUGCCGAACGACGUAAAUCUUAGUUUCUUUUUUCUGCAUUUAUUUUUUCUUUUACCGUUCGCUCGGUGUUUUCUCUAUUUUUCGUGCAUCUUUGUUGGUAGCGCAUGACAGACGAUCCAUCCGGUUCCCAACAGUUCCACCAUGUUUCUGGAAUAAGUUUGUUGCCAAGUAAGGGUGGAACUGGGCUGGGCUUGGGUCGGGUAAUACUAUACCGAAGCCCGGCCCAAAAAAAUAUGUUGGGCUUCGGGUCAGGCUUUUACCCAAUUUUUUUUGAAAAUUAAGGCCCGGCCCAAGCCCAAGUCCAAUACCCAAUACCUAUCGGGCUUUGUGAAGGCCCAUUUUAUAUAUUUAUCAUGUAAUAAUAAAUACUUUUAUUUGUAUAAAAUUAAAAUAAAAUAUCUAUUUUUACUGAGAUUUGAUCACAACAAAGAAAUUAAAAUCUAACAUCAAAUAUAAUACCAUUAAUAUCUACCAAUAAUUAUCCAUCAAUAAAAUAAGACUAAACAAAGAAAAUUAAUAAACUAAAAUUAAGACUUAGACUCCGAUACUAGCGAUCAAAGUAAAUUAUAAGAUAGAAACUUUUCAUAUAAAAGUAGAACAGUUAAUUAAUUAGGACAUAUAUAAUUUUUUAAAGAAGUAUUGUAGUAUUUUAAAAUUAUCCUUAAGUUAUGUAUAUAGAACGUCUAAUAAAUUUUUUAAAAAAUUUUAAAAUACUAUAUAUUUAGUAAGUGUUAUGUGCAUAACUAAUUAGUUAUAUAUAAUAAUAUGUACCAUAUAUUUACUUACUUAGAAAUAUGUAUAAUUAAUUAAUUAUAUAUAAUAAUACUAUUUAAUAUAUACUAAUAUGGAAUUAAAUAUUUUGUUAAUAUAUAAUAUAUUCUCAUAUAUAUAUAUAUAUAUAUAAUUAAAUACUUUAUUUUAAUAAUUAAUAUAUUGAGCUUUUGGGUCGGGCUCGGGCCGGACUUGGACAUGCCCAAAUAGGCCCAAAAAUUUUUCGGGCCUAAAUUUUAAUGCCCGGCCGGAAUUCAAAGUCUAGUUUUUAAUGUCCAAAGCCUGGCCCAAACAUGGCCCAUCGGGCCGGGCCUUGUAUAGGCCCGGGCCCAGUUCCACCCCUAUUUCCAAGUGAAAAUAAGAUUAAUUAAAAUCUAAAUUUAAUUUUUAUUAUGAUAUUAAAUUAUUAAUUAAUCUAGUUAAUAUAUUUAAAUCAUUAUCCAUUGCUUAAAUAAUAAAAUAAUUAAUUUAUUUAUUACUUAUAAUUAAUUAGCUAAUUAAUUAUUAAUAAUUUAAUAUGUUUAUUUUUAAACUAAUAUUUAUAUUAAUCAAUCAUUAAUAUUUUUUAUUAAUCUAAUUAUUUUUUUACUAGUUAUCUAACUAAAAUAAUUUACUAACUAAUUAAAAGGUUAAAUUAAUUUUUUUAUAUUUAAUUAAUUAAUUAAUAUAAAUUUAUUAUCUUACACAAUAUUCGUAGUUAAUAAAUUUAUUAAUUUAUUAAAUUAUUUUUAAUUAAUAUUUUCAUAUUAAUUAAUUAGAUAAAAUAUUUUUAAUUUAAAAUUUAACUCUUAUUCUUCAUAUUCCAAUUUAACUACUCAAACACUCUUUACCUUAUUUUAAGAAACAACUUAAUUUUAUUAUAAACGCAAAACUAGUCUAAUUCAUGCGUAUACCUGAACUUGUAAUGAUUUUUGAAAAAAGUAGUUCUUAUUUAUACUCAAAUUAAAUGCAGCUUAAGUUACUGAACCAAUGUUAAAACAACUAAUAAAUAGAAUGUUAUGUUUUCUUAUAUAACUAAAUUAAUAUACUAUAUAAAUUAAUAUACUUCAGGUAAUAAUCACUGCUCGGAAUGACUACUAGUUAUUCGGGACAAAGGACUAUCCAAAAGAUAGGAGGUUACGUUCCUUGUGUGUUUCAGAAAUUAAACAAAAAUAAUUCGAGCUCUUAGCAUGUUGAGUUUAUAGUAUUUGUUUUGGAGAGUUUCUUAGCAUAUAAAAAAUUUUGGACAUGUGAAAAAACAAAAAAAAUCAAUUGUGUAUUAUUUGGACGAAAGUCUUAGUCCCGUGAACCUUCUUUUGUUUUGUUUUUGAGUUGGUCUAAGCUCGGACAAAGACAUGAUAAGCCGUGUUCAUACCAGAGUGAUUAAGUGUCAUGCCCCCGCCCCGAGUCCGCUACCGAUUUGGUCCGGUUCGGGCGCGCUGAACGGACAGCAAUUCCCCUAUCCGCCCAAGACUAAAACGACGAGAUCAUGUAUACAAGUUCCCAGAAAAUACACUUAAUUACAUACAUGAUCUAACAAUGACGACGAAGCACAAACAGUACUGUUUAUCAACCAAGAGCAAGCAAUACAAGUAAAGCAUACGAGUGAUAAAAGAGAGGUGUAUUUAACUAUUAAACUCAUUUAACUUUAUACAAUUAUUUCAUCUUUUAUAUUCUUCCAGAACAUAUGUACAAUCACUCUCAAAACCUCAUCCUAUACAACAUCUACUCUCAAUAUAAGUGCAGGGUAGAGCUAAUGCAAAAGAAAGUAAAGCUAGCUAUGUACAUAUACCACUAGGGCGCUAUGCCCUUGCCACGAUCCUCGCGCUCGCAGGGACACUCGAACUCGGACCUGCAACAAAGUGGGAUGAGAACUACGAAUAGUUCCCAGUGGGUUUGGCAGCCGACUCCGCCGAUCUUCCCACUAAGGUCUAAGCAGGCAUAAGUAGAUAUGCAGAUAGAUAGGUAUAUAAACUUGAGAGCGAUAACAAUUAAGAGCUAGCAUUAAAUAGGAAUGUGAGUACUCUACCAUGCCUCAAUCUGAUAUCAUGCAUGCAUGUAAUUCAUAAGGAAUUUGUAGCUACCAUACUACUAUGCUCAACAAUAAAGGUUAUUUAUUACUUUACCCAAUCAUUUGAUCAAUCCUGUAACUCAAUCUCACGUUUAUAAGUCUCAUAGGGAAAAGCCUCGCUGAACUAUUCCCCGAGACCGCCUGCGGACAGAUUCACUGACUGUCCAGGCAGCGCAUAGCGACUGCCCCUCGAGUGACAAAUACUCCGGAGUGCACAGCCUGUGGGGAGCGACCCCUACAAGCGCAUACAGGCUAUGUGAGCUUAAUCUGAACUCAUGAACAGGUCCUACCAACUAAGGUUGGUCUCAUCAUAGAAUCAAGCAUUCCAAUACCCAAGCUCAUAGUGUUUUGACUACACUAGGGUUCUCAUGUUCAAAGUCAACUAGAUGCCACUUGUUCAUGUUUGUUGUUAACUAGAUACCACUCGUUCUUUGACAAGUUCUCAAUACUCUAGUCCACACUGUACUAGGUUUUCAUAGCUACAUUCAACACAUAUAGGGUUACACUGUAUCAUACUACCUCGAGCACACUAGGUUCUAAUGCUAUAUCAACUAAGCCACAUUAACGCUAGCAUGCAAUUAUAGAUAUUAUUAACUUAGUUCCCUAUAUGCCACAUAUUCAAUAUGCAAUUGAUCAACAUAAUAACUCAGACAUAAGGAGCAGUUCAACUGCUUCGGGAUGGCACUCCCCCACCUCUUGGUAGUGCCGCGUAGCUAGGAAACUCGACGUCGCGAUCCUCGUACGUCGCUUCAACUCCUCGGGGCAAAGCGAACCCUCAAGUACUCGUUUCGGCGAUAUCUUCGCACUCGCUCGUCGGAUCGACGAACCGUAUUCGCCUACGCGUUCGAAGACUUAGCAAUUAGAUUAACGACCUAUUAAACGAGAUCAAAACCCUAGAUUUCUAAAGAUCCCAAAUCCGUGCUCUAGGUUGGCAACGGUGAGGAAAUCCGUGGUGCGAGCUUCAAAUGCUAGCUCGAACCAUCACCUUAGCUUCAAUAGGUUCCAUUCAAACCAUUUCUAAGCAACAAAACCCUAGUUCACCAAAAUCCACCAUUAAAGGGUUUGAGGUUUACCUCAAUACCAAGCUCCAAGCUUGAGAGAGGGAGAGAAGAAGAUGACUUCUUCUUCUUCCUAGUCUUCUCCUUCCUCUUUCUCUUCUUCUCCUUCCUCUUCUUCCUCUCCUUCUUCUUCUCCUUCUUUUCUUUCUAGAGAGAGAGAGGGAAAGAGUAUGAGAGGGAAAGAGACAAAUGAGAGGAAUGGGAGAGAAGAGUGGUCCCCAAGCCUCUCAUAUAAGCCACUUUGCAAUUAGCCCCCUCAACUUUCCAUCCUCUGCAGCAGCCCUCACUGGGCAUUUUCGCAGCGAGGGACCGGUCCCAGCUCGGGGAGACCAGGGACGGGGAGACUGGUCCCCGAGAGCCUCCCAUUCGAGAACCGGUCCCUGCCUGAGAGAUCGGUCCCCGGGAGACCGGUCUUUGUCCGAGAGACAGGUUCCCGAGAAUUGGAUUUUCGUGACUUAGCCAAAUUUCGGCUUUUCUCACUGGGUUAACGUUCGGGGACCGGUCCUCCCCUGCCAGGGACCGGUUGCAUCAAGGAUCCCCGCCAGCCCAGCCUGAUGGGGACCGGUCCCCGAGAGCAAUUUUGCUCCAGUGCAAAUUUUGCACUGCUGCUCUCGCGAACUCUCCUUAAUGCACUUCAUGCAUUUUAACCACCUCCGGAAAGCUCGACAAUUAGUCUAGAUUCUAGACGAAGUCUAAUUCUCGGAUUUCGAGAAUUCACUUACUUACAUUAAGCUUAUUUUAUUUAGAAAUAAAUUUAGCUGGAAAUGUGAAUCAACUAGAAUUCAAAUUUUGGACCUUGGGUAUCAAUUACCAAGCUUUUCGCCACUUGCUCUAGAGACGGUACGUAAUUGCACACUUUUUUAAACCCGGUGUAUAGGACCGCGCGCGCCGUCGCCCGCCUAGCUCGUACUCGUACCGUGCGUGUAUUUAAACGAGAGUAUAACUUUCAUUUUCUUCCAAACAACUUGCUUGAGAAUAAAAAAAUAUUUAUACACCAUCAAACUCUUUUAAUUUUCAAUGUGGGACUAAAUCUUACACAUGAAAAUUUUAGUUGGGUUCCCAAGUAAGGCCCAUUAAUAAUUAUUGGGCUCCCAAGAGCCUUAACAAGUUUUAAAUCACAAAAAUCCAAUAAAAUCCAAUAAAAACAACUAAUAAAUAAAAUUUAAUGUUUUCUUAUAUAACUAAAUUAAUAUACUAUACAAAUUAAUAUACUUCACGUAAUAAUCACUGCUCGGAAUGGCUAGUAGUUAUUCGUGACAGAGGACUAUCAAAAAGUUAAGAGGUUACGAUCCUUGUGUGUUUCAGAAAACAAAAAUAAUUCAAGCUCUUGGCUUGUUGAAUUUAUAGUGUUUGUUUUUGUGAAACAAUCGUUAUAUUUUAAAAACUUAAACGGUUAGAAAAUGUUAUUUAAAUAUUUUUAUAUUUAACACUUUUUUUCAUAUAUGUGCUCGAGACUUUUUAAUUGGUCCAUAACGUUGGCUUAAAUUAAAUAGGAGGAAAUUAACAUAUUAGGCGCUUGGCGUGACUCGAACUCAGGACCUUCUGCUCUGAUAUCAUGUGAAACAAGUCCUGCUAUGAUAUCAUGUGAAACAACCGUUGUACUUAAAAAACUUAAGAUGUUAAAGAACAGUGUUUAAACAUUUUUAUAUUUAACACUCUCCAUCACGUCACGUCUGGACUCAAAACUUUUUGCAAGGAUCUUCUAUUGUAAUACUAUGUAAAGCAAUCGUUGUACUCUAAAAGCUAAAGCUAUUAGAGAACCCCCUCACGUCUGGACUCGAGACUUUUUUUUUUAAGUCGGCCCAUGACGUGAGUUUGAAUUAAAUGGGAGAAAAUUAAUAUACUAGGAGCCUGGCGUUACUCGAACUCAGGAUCUCCUGCUCUGAUGUUAUGUGAAACAAUCGUUGUAUUCUAAAAUCUUAAGCUGUUAAAAAAAACGAUGUUUAAAUAUUUUUAUAUUUAACCGUUUUGAAGAGUUUCUUAACAUAUAAAAAAUGUUGGACAUGUGAAAAAAAAAAAAAAAAAAAUUGUGUAUUAUUUGGACGAAAGUCCCGUGAAGCUUCUUUUGUUUUAUUUUUGAGUUGGUCUAAGCUCAGGACAAAGACAUGAUAAGCCGUGUUCAUACCAGGGUGAUUAAGCUCAGGACAAAGACUUGAUAAGUCGUCUUGAACCGACUUAAUCACUCUGGACCACUUAAUUAAUUGCACAUUUUUUUAAACAUCAAAAAAUCCAGUAAAACGACAACAUGUAUCGUAUGUAUGUAUAUGGAUAUGUGACUCAGACCACUUAAUUCAUAGGAGAAACCCAACCCAUAUUCCCAAUUAAGAAAAGGUCAAGGUAAACGGAAAAAAAAUAAUAAAAAUAAAAAAUAAAAAUAUCCCACUCUCGAUCUAGUGCGCGCAAAGUUUCUCUCAGUUUCCACUGUACUCGUCUCGCUAGCUAUUUAAGAUGGCGGCCAGUGCCAUGCUCAUUCCAUUUCCCUCCGCUCGCGCGCGCGCUCUCUCUCUCUCUCUCUCCAGUUGCUUUCGUAGCAUUAAUUAAAAAGCCCUGUCUAUCUAAGAAAACACAUACAUAAUAACAAAUGGUUACUUGGAUCACCCACCACUUGGUCCUGCAGCCUUAGCAACAGGGCGCGCUUCUUGAUCCCUCCCGCUUGACAUGUUGAAUGAUCAACAACGGCCUGACGGCACCGGAGAGGAGCAUGAUCCGCCGCACGAAGAAGCGGAAUUCCGCGACAUCCACCCGCUGACUCCGCGACCACCACCGUCGGUCCGAUCAUCGGGCGGGAGGCGCGGGGAGUACUCGAGCCACCACCGGUCGCCGGCGGCGCUCUCGGUGGGGAGCGACGCCGCCCUGAGCGAGCAGCUGACGACGAUGAGCAGGGAGUUCAGCGCGAUGCUCGUCGCGGGCUCCGCCUUGCAGCUGGGUGACGCCGCCAGCAACGUCGACAACGACACCACCCUCGCCAGGAUCGGCGAGGAGGACCGCCUCGAGGAGACGAACCCGCUCGCCAUCGUCCCCGACACCAACCCCAUCCCGUCCCCGCCUCCCGAGGCGGUGGCCGCGCUGGAGGAGGUCUCCGUGGCGCAGGUCAAGAAGGAGGAGGUCGAGUCCAAGAUAUCGGCCUGGCAGACCGCCGAGGUCGCCAAACUCAACAACAGGUUCAAACGCGAAGAGGUCGAGAUCAACGGCUGGGAGAGCCACCAUGUCGAGAAGGCCACGGCCUGGCUAAAGAAAAUAGAGGUACCGUACCGUACCGUACCCUGCCUUUCUUUAUUAUAUAAGACGUGUCCUGUCUAAUUUCGAUCUUGAAUUUUCCGUACGCUAUCUGUCUAUCUAUCUAUCUAUCUAUCUAUUAUUAUCGUGGGAAUGUGUUUAUGAGAUUAAUUUCUAAUUUUUCUUUUUUCAAUUGGGGAUUGCAGAGGAAGUCGGAGGAACAGAGGGCGAGGGCGAUCGAGAAGGCGCAGAACGACGUGGUGCGGGCGCGGCGCAAGGCCGAAGAGAAGAGGGCAUCGGCGGAGGCGAAGAGGGGGACCAAGGCGGCGAGGGUUCUGGAGCUCGCCAAUUUCAUGAGGGCCGUGCGUAGAGCGCCAUCAAAGCGCUCCUUUUACUAAGUAAUUAAUUAUUAUUGGUUUAUAUUUAAUUAAUUUGCUUGCUUGAAUCAAUUGUCUCUGCUUUUAAUUUCUCAUCACGCGGAGAGCUUUUUAAAUUCCAAUUGUAUCAUCGUUGUUGUUGGAAUUACUAUGCGGUGGAUCAACUUAGCAGGGGAGGUGUUGUAAUUAUUAUUAAAUUAAGAAGAAGGAAAAGUCGCAGAAACAGGGAACAGUUUUUAAGGUUUCUGAAGGCUCUCUGUUGAAGGCUCUGUGUUGUAAAGGCGUGUAUGUUUGAAGAAAUUAUGAGAGAUUAGUAUUUUAGUGCUUUUUUUUUUUAUUUGUCUUUAGUAAAUGACCACUGAUAUUAAUUAGUUAAGAAAAAACAAAAAAAACAAAAAUUAAGGGACACUUUGCAAAAGACUGUAUCAAAGGAGAUUAGAUACAGUUCAUUGAUCAUUUUUAUUCAAUGCACACUCAUAUUUACUUUCUUAUAGAGAAUGAAGCAUAGUUUAAUCUGAUGGCUUGGAUUGACAAAAAAAAGAAGAAGAAGAUAAUAUCAAAUUCUUCUUAUAAAUCUGAAUGAUAACCCCAUAGAAUUUUGCUCAGCUACUGCCUCCGCGAAUUUAAUAACGGAGAGAGUCCAGGAUGUUUUGCUUUUGCGCCUCUCGCACCGCAAACGAGCCCUCUGUAGCAAUUAUAAUUAUUUUUUGUGCGAAGCUUGUAAAUAGCCCGUUGUUCUUCAUCGACCUAAUUGAUUGCUGCCGUUCAAAUGUUGGUGAAAUACAGAAUGGAUUUCGGGGGCGCCUGCUAGUCCAAAAGGCACCCUGGGGAACACUGCAUUUAAUACCCAAAGAAACGGUGACCGUCCUAAUGGUGGGCUGAAUUAAUUAUGACAUGAGGCUUGCUCCCGGAAGACCUAAUCCAAAACUACGGUGCGACCCCCGCUAGCUUUCCUUUAAAUACAAUAUUCAAAUGUAAUUUAAAUAUUUCUUUAUUUAGGAAUAGGUUUAUUUAUGGCAAUAUCAUUACGUUAAAUUACCGCGUGAUUUGAGCAUGUGGGCUCAAAAUAAUGUAAUUCUUGACAAUAAAAGAUUAAUAAUCAGAAUUUUCUCUUUUUCUGUCUUAGCCAUCCUUUUCUCUCUACUUUUCUACUCUCGACAGGUCCAAUUAUCUCAAAGUGACUUACUAUUUCUUUUGAUAGAGCAAAGCCAUGUUAUUAGGUAUCAAAGUCUUGUAUGGUCUUGACUUGAGCAAGAAAUAAAAUAUCUUGAGAAAGAUGAACAGAGAAUUCGUAAAAAAAAACAAUAUGAAGGUAUAAUUUUUCAUUGUCGAUGUUUGAUUCAACAAAUUAGAGAUUGAAGUAACAUUCAUUAGCGAUUUUGUUAAUGAUCUUAAGAAUUUAAUCAUCGUUAUGAACGUAAAGAUGGAUGUGUGACCACACGUACUGUCCGAAGAUACAUCCGUCUCGAGUUCCAACAAAAAAUAGACCUUUACUUCCAAAUCCCUUAAAGGAAGAGGACUAGUUCCUUUUACAGAAAAUUCUGUGGUGAUGUGCCUGGAGUUUUCUUGAUUUGAUAGAGAGGAUCCAACGACAAAGGUGUACUUAGGGCCUGUUUGUUUCGACGGAAGUGGGGUGGAAGUGGGACGGGGAAAGUGAUUUUCGGUGAAAACUAACCACUUCCGCUGUUUGGUUCACCGUAAGUUUAUUACGCCCGAAAGUUCAGUUCACCCAAAAUAAGGAACUUGACUUCGCCCUCCCAUGGGGCGAAGUCAAUUUCGGUGAAGUGAAAAAAAGGCAAGAAUGGAUUAAUGUGUUAGGGUUACCUCUUCAUUUCAUCCAAAUAUAUUCAAUUGUGAAAAUAAUUAAAUUUUUUAUUUUGAUUGUAUGUCUAAAAUAUGAUCAAAUUUGAUUAGGUAAGUUUUAAUAUAUUUUUGUUUAAUUUGUAUAUUUAGAAAAUGAUGAAAAAUAAAUUUGUUAAAUGUUAAUAAUUUUUUAACUUUAGAAUUUUAUUUGUUGCAUUAUUAUAAUUUAUAUGCAAACAAAUAAUAUAAUUUUUUAAAAUUUUAUUUUAUAAUUAUACAUAUAUAUAAUUAUAUACAUAUAUAAUUAUAUUAAUUUUUAUUUAUUAUAAUUUAUUAUUCACUAUAAGUUAUAAAAUAGACAAUAAUAUCACUUUGGAGGCAAGUAUACCGGGGGUGGAGAGCUACACUUUUUACGUCAUUUACUUCCUACCAAACAAACAACAGAAUUCGCAGAACUACACUUCCACAGUUAGAAACAAACAGCAGAAGUGAAUUAAUUUUCACCCCAACUCCACUUCAACCCAAAGUCCACUUCCACCCCAAGUCUACUUACGUUGAAACAAACAUGCCUUUAGCAGAGCAAGUUUUUAAAUUUAACCAAACACUAGAUGCCCAAAGAGUCCCGUUUGCAUCCUACCAUAUGGAAAAGAAAGUAUUAUAUUGAAUCAUGCGAUGUUGAAUUUCUCGAGGAGGGCUUUCCUUAUAGAUGUGAGGUUCGAAAUAAAAUUGAAUUUUAUGAGAUAGAUGACUCUGGUAUUGGCGGUUCUAUACGUUCAGUUAAGGUACAUGAGGCAACUCCAAUAUUUUAUGGGGAUAGUGGGAAGUUCCAAUGCACCAUAGUUUUUGAUUCCUGUUGAAACUAGUCUUUCUUUUGUUUGUAAUAUAAAAUUUCUUUUGCCAUUUUGAGCAUCGAAAAAAAUCCAUGUGAGUCUUUUGAGUUUGUCUCUGACUCGGUGGAUCCAUCGUAGGUCCGGUUGACUUCUUGCGCAUCUAAGGUUCGUACGCAACUUUGACGGGUGGUCUUUAAUUUGUCACGCCUCGAGAUCCUUUUUAGUUUAUAAAACAGCGAAAAUGUCCAAUACUUUUUUUUUUUUGAAAACCAUGACCCAAGGGAUGACAGACCUGCCACAAAUACAGGAGAUCCACUGUUCACAUGGACAGAGUGUAAUGUACUGGAUUUUAAUAUAAAAGUAAGUAUAAAUAAAAAUAGUGUAAGAUACUAUUUUUAUUGGACUUAAAGAAGUGAAAUAUAAGUUGAAAAUGAUUUGUGCUGAAAUUGGAAUGGAAACAAAAGAUUUAGAAUUUUCUGUAAGAAACGGGGCUGAUCUUUUAGUAGAAAAUUCAGUGUCAGAAAAUUGUGAAAAUUUGAGAAUAUGUCGGAAUUAUUUUUAUGAAGCUAGAUUUAAAGUUUCAUGUCAUUCCGACACCCGAAAAGUGAAAAAUAAAAUCUGACAGCUAUUUACUAGAGAUUUUAGUCGGUAGAGCUUUCGGUGACAAAAAAUGGUUCAAACUGAGAAGUUAAGAUUUCGUUAUUCUUGUUAAUUUAAACCGAACCUGACUCUCAAAUUUGAUCGCAAACAGACAUUUAAAAAGGUUCCGGCGAAAAGUAUCAAAUUCUGAACUGCUAAAUUAAAAAUUGUAGAGUGUGUUGGGAGGGCCUGUAUGAAACCCACACCAUCUCUCUCUCUCCCUGGUUCUCUCCCAAAACGUGAGAGGAGUGGAGGGCUCUCUUUUCCUUCUAUACAUAAGAGCUUCUUUCUCUUUCUCUUAAACCCUCUCCCCUAGCUCUCUCUCUCUAGCAAUUUUCCCAUUAAAGUGAAGAAGUUGGAGGAGAUUAAGUUGGAGAAGAAGCUUGGUGGUGAAGCAAGCUAUCCAAUGGUGGAUCAAGCUUCUUUCCCAAGGUGGCCAUAGUGAGUUUUGUGAUUCAAGCUAGGGUUUGGAUUAAAUCUCUUGUAAAUGAGAUAUUUAGGACCUCUAGAUGAUUCUAAAUUAGAUUGGUUAAAGUUUAAUCAUCAAAUUUGGAGUAUUCUUAUAGAACUUGAACCCUAGGCUUAGAAAUUGGGGCUCUUGUCUCUAAGAGGUUUUGAACUAAAUUAACCUUGUAAAACCUUAAUUGAAGGAUAAUUCGACACGGAGGAUAACUUCGUUUUGGAUUACGACGAGGUUAUGGCGUCCGAUUGAGAGAUUUGCGGAAUUUGGUUCGUUAAGCUUGGGUCGAGGCGAACCGGACAACGUGUGCCGUGGGAGCCCGAUUGCAAGUGACUACAAUCAAUCGGAUAGCAUUGCGAGGUGGGUUGUGCUUCACCGAAGUGAUUAGGUCACUUCCAUGUCAAAGUGAAGUGGUUUGUCGUUGAUGCAUGUAGCGGUAGUUAAUUACAUAUAAAAGUAACCUCAGGAAAGAAUGGCCAAUGAGCAUAGUGUGACUAAGAAUAAAGAAUAAAGAACAAAGAACGGCUAAUGUUAAGGAAUAGCAAAUAAUAAAAAACAGCAAAUGCUAAAGAAUAACUAAUAAUGUAAAGAAUGAUUAGCGAUAAAGAAUGGCUAAGAGUAAAGAAUGGCUAAGAACAAAGAAUAGAAUUAAUUAAUCUAUUUGUAUGAGUUGCAUGAUUUGCAUAUUGCAUAUUGUAGGUCAUGAACAUGAUAAAUAUUAGUUGUAUAAAUUAUAUAUAUCUGUGGAUAUUUGUUCGACUAACAUGUUUGCAGUGCCUCCUUUGAACCUGAUGGGUCGAGCUUUUCCUUGGGUGGCUGUACCUACUAGGAACUAUGGAUAAUAGUUCUCACCCCCGUGUUGUUUUUGGGGGUUACAGGUUCACACGUAAGCGGCGCGGCGGCGCGAGGUAAGGGCGUAGCUCCGUAGAUAGCGCCCUACCACCGAGACCAGAGAUAGUAGUACCCCGAGUCGACUUAGAUAGGGGUAUAGAAAAGAAAAGAACAAUGUUGUAAUAAAUUGUAGUAACUUGGAUUGUAUUUGGAAGCUAAUUGAGAAUUAAAAAUGUAAUAUGUAAAAUGUAUGUGAGUUGAAUGCUUGUAAAAGCAUAAUAUUUAUGUUUUCAUACCUUCCUUAUGCAAUCUUUAUUGAAUACUGUUCCUGGUUGGAACCUCGCGCAUUGUAUGGAUUGUAGCACCUUGGAUGUACAGGGGAGACUCUGUCCGCGGUACAGAGAAAACCCUGUCCGUUCGGCGGUCUGUUGGUGUUCCCGAAUCCGACCAAAGAGGCGGGCUCGGGGCGUGACAGCCGACCUCAGAUUUCGUACGGUCCGUAUAUUCAGCUCAUUCCAGCCGAACCGAAUCUUUAAUAGAGUUUUCGAACUCGGCUGAUCCGAUCCCUCGUCAGCUGAAUCGCUUGAUCCAGUCGAAGGGCGCAAACUUCGAGAGUCACUAUCCGAAGCCCUUUUUAUCCCUACACACUCCCCAAGGUGGAUCUUUGACUAGGUCAAAGAUAAGGAUGUUCGGCUACCAACACUUACAAACAUAAUUCAUACUAAGUGGUAAAUUAUGGCAUCAUUUCUUUCUUGUUCGUAAUGUUUAUUUUUGUAUAAGCUUUACUGUGAUAAGAAAAUUUGUGUAUUUGUUCUGCUCCGUUGUUAGUAUUCUGGACGCUUGCUAAGUUUCUUUAUUUUUGGGGCUGUUUGGCCUAACUAUUAAAAAGUGAUUUUAUACUCAAAAGUGAUUUUCGGCUCAAUAGAGCAUUUGACAACCUCGUUUUCAAAAUUUGAUUCUGAUUUUCGAUAAUCAGAUUUUCGAAGCCCAAAAUCAGAAACAGCUAAAAUCUGCUUUUUGAAAUCUUAUUCUAAUAUUGGACUUAAACUUCAAAUUUUUAUUUUCAUUUUCAAUUCAAAGUUUAAAUUUAAAUAUAAUUUUAAAUUUAGUUUUUAAAUUUAUUUUUAAAUUUUAAAAUAUAAAAUUUAGAUAUUAAAUUCUAAAAUUUCAAAAUUUAAAUUUAAAUCUUAAAUUUAAAAUUUAAAAUUUAAAAUUUAAAAUUUCAAAUUUCAAAUUUAAAUUUAAGACUAAAUUUAAAUUUUGAAAUUUUAGAAUUUAACAUUUAAUUAAAAAUCUUUAAAAAAUAAAAUUUAAAAUGAUAUGUUUUAAUUUUUGAAAUUUCAAAUUUUUAAAAUUCUAAUUUUUAAUUGUAAAUUUUUAAUUUUUUCUUUUUAAAUUUUAGAUAUUCAAAUUUUAAAUUUAAAAUUUCAAAAUUUUAUAUUUUAUAUUUUAUUUUUCAAAUUUUAAAAUUCAAAUUUCAAAAUUUAAAAUUUAAAUUUAAAUUUUUUUUUAACAUUUUAAAUUUGAAAUUAAAAAUUUAAAUUUAGCUUUAAAAAUUCAAAUUGUAAAUUUUAGAUUUUUAAUUUUCAAAUUUAUUUUUAAAUUAAAAUAUCAAAUUUUAAAUUUUUUAGAAUUUUAAAUUUAAAUUCAAACUUUAAAUUAUUUUAAAAUGAAAUUUAGUAAAAGUAUUAUUAUAUCUAAACAUCAAAUUUUUUUUUUUUUUUUGCCAAACAGUUUUAUAAAAUUAUUUAAAAAAAAUAACUUUUUGUCUAAACUCAGCCAAAUGCGCUACAACCUAUAACAAAAAUCACUUCUACAAAAUAUAGUUAUUUAUAAAAUAAAUAACUAUAUAUUUCACUCUAUUAAAUAAGCAAAUUUUAGAGCAUUUUCCAUCACAAAGGAAUGCGUGUUUACUACAUGUGUUUGAUGGGCUUGUAUUUAUUACAACUAAAACCCUCCAAAAAAUAAAUUUCUAUAAUAAAACAAAAUCAACAUAUGUAAAUCCAUAUUUUUUAAAUUUUUUUAUAUUUAGCAAUCAGUCAAGAGACUACUACUACUACUGAUAAGAACAAAACAAUAUAUUCAAUUACUAUCCAAAGUUUUUAAUUAAACCUGUGAAGAAAAGUUGUCACAGAGAAAUAAACAGAACGCCGUGAAAGCCUCCAAUUAUGCGAAAGCUCCGGAAGAAAAAUAAAAUUAUAUUUAAAUUAUUAUCUAUUAUUUAAAUAAUAAAGUAAUUAAUGAAUUAUUUAUUUAUAAUUAAUUAGCUAAUUAAAAAUUAAUAAUUUAAUGUGUUUAUCCAUAAACUAAUAUUUAUAUGGACCGACCAUUAACAUUUUGACUAAUCUAAUUAAUUUUUUUACUAAUUAUCUAACUAAAAUAAUUUACUAACUAAUUAAAAACUUAAAUUAUUUUUAUAUUUAAUUAGUUAAUUAAUAUAUUUUUAUUAUCUUAUACAAUAUUUAUAGUUAAUAAAUUUAUUAAUUUAUUAAAAUAUUUUUAAUUAUUCAUAGUUAAUAAAUUAAUUAACUUAUUAAAUUAUUUUUAGUUAAUUUUUAAUAUUAAUUAAUUAGAUAAAAUAUUUUUAAUUUAAAAUUAUAACUCUUUGUGGUAUCCCUGGUGUACAGCUGUUGAGGCUUGUCGACAGUUCUGAAGAGUGUUGGGGACAAGUCCGAGUCGUGUUGGCGUGAAAUAGACGCAAAACAGACUCAGCGGGGACGCGAGAGCAGGACUUAGCUUUGAAAAUCUGCAAAUUGCAGAUUUUCUGCUUGUUGUACCGGUACAACCAUCAAGGCGUACCGGUUCACUUUCUGUACUGGUACAACAUCAGGGGUGUACCGGUACACUUCGACAGAUUUUGCGCAGCUGCUCUUGGGUUGCCAUUUGUACCGGUACAUUUGUCCGUGUACCGGUACACCUGAGUAGGUAAGGGGUUUUUUGGUAAUUCCGUGCCUCGUACGUGUCACCACUCUACCCCUUCACUAUUUACAUGUGUAGAGAGGCUGAGAGAGAGUAUUCUACCUGCUUCUUCUCCCCUCUCUCUCUAGCAUCGGCCGAGCAAGGAAGAGCUCAGGUGGAGUGCGAGUUCCGCCGACGUCGCGCCGCGGUGCCGUUCGAGCGUGUCUUCGUCAUCAUAGUAUCGCGAGGAGGCCGGGCGAGGGUGCGAUUUCGCUGUUCUCGACGUCGUGCCGGAUUGGGAUUAGCUAUCGAGGUAGGUUAAUCAUCGGUUUGUCUUCUAAGUAUAUAGUUGGUCAACAUGUAUUGUUGUGUUGAUAGAUUUUGCUCAGUUCAUAAAAUUUGGCAUAUUCAAUGUAAAAUCUGAAUUGGAGCUUCCUCGUUGCAUGUAUCUACUAGCACAUGUUGGAUUAGAAUUUGACUUAGGAGAAAACAACGAUUAUGACCUAUCAUAUGCUUAAACUACCUGAUUUAACUCUAAGAGCCGUUGUUAUUUCGUAUCGCUGCAGUAUCAGUGUGGUGGAUACCCUAGGUAGUUUAGAUUUCAGUUACGCUCGUGCUGGGAUGCCGAGUGUAUUUUUACAGUAGUGUUCAGACUGUUCCGGACUGUUGGGGGCCGUCGGGGUUGACGGUGGACCCCUAUCGCCGUUUUGGGCGUCAGAUUGUGCCGAGGGCACGUGACCUGUUGGUUGUUAGACUAGUUGGACCCUGUUACUUGACUUUGGCUUGUGAGAGCCUGAUUGAGCUCGACAGAGAUACGCUGCAUACUCAGUUAGGUAGCUCCCACGAGUGCCACUCUGGAGACUGGCGUUGUGCUUUCGCGUUAGUGUCGUUCGUGCAGGUUGGACUUGCGCUCCACAGACCGCUUAGUGUGGAGGUAGCUGUAUAGUCGCAAUCGGGCGGGACGGGUGUAUUCACAGUCCCAGGGACGAGUAGUCUUACAGUACCAGUUGGAUUGGGUCAGAAUUGCCAUUUACUACAGUUGGUUAGAGUAGAACAUGAUAGUGUAGUGGCUUGUAGCUGUAGAUUUUCUUCCAGCAUUUCCUACUAUUCUUGCUCCCUUCUGUAGACUUAGUGGGUGAACCGACGUUGUUGAGGACGGCACCCACUGAGAACUACUUAUUUUUACCGUAGUUCUCACGCCCAGUUGUUCCUUUUCGUUUUGCAGAGCCAUCGUCGUCGGCUGCUACUGAUCCUGAUCGUGGCAAGAGCAUCGCGAGUUAGAGCCCUACCAAACGAGCCAGAGCUAGUGGAGUACCAGCUACAGGUAGUUGUAGUUUUUGGUUCAUUACAUAUUGAUGUUAUACCUCGUUGGAGCGAGUGUUUUUGUACCAGGAUACUGUGUAUGUACUGAUCCAUUUUUAUUAUAUUCUCAUGUUCUUUUUUCCUAGCAGCUCUAUACUACUGGUUGUAGUGUUGUAUUAUUACAGGUACAUUUACAGCUUCGCUUCGUAUAUAGGAAAAAUUUCUUUAUAUACGGCGAAUUUGUCGGCGUGCCCGGGGAACGUGAUAUCCGGGGCGUGACACUCUUAUUCUUCCUUAUUCCAAUCUAACUAUAUAAAUAAAUAAAUACUAUCAAUACAUAUAUUAAAAGCCCAGUUCUACUGUGGCUGACGUGGCGCUUUCUCCGCGCUCGCUAGAAAGAGAGAAAGAGAGAGAGAGAGCAGAGAGAGAGGGAGAGAGAGAGAGCAGACAGAGAGAGGGAGAGAGAGGGACAGAGAGCAGACAGAGAGAGAGAGAGAGAUAGAGAGAGAGCAGACAGUGAGAGAGAGAGGUAGAGAGAGAGAGGGGGGGACACGGGGGCCUCAAGAGCCCGCGCGUAGAGAGAGAGGGGGGGACAUGGAGGGGCCGGGGUACCCAACCCGCGCCCCCCGCGCGCAGGGGCACGCGGGAGAGAGAGAGAGAGAGAGAGAGAGAGAGAGGGGGGACACGGGGGGGGGGGGGAACGGGGGGGGGACCAAGGGGCCCGCGCACCGGCGGGAGAGAGAUCUCUCUUCCUCCCGCCACCGUCUUUACCUCUCCCCCCCCCUGCUCUCUCCGCUCUCCCACCACCUCCCCCCUCUCUCCUCUGCUCUCUUCAUCUCUCUCCCCCCCUCUCUUCCCUCUUUUCCUCCCCCGCUCUUCUCUCUCCUCCCCUCUCCCCAGCGCGGAGGGAAGCAGCGGAGAGAGGCGGCGGAGGGGCCAGCGCGAGCGGAGGCCGGGCGCGGGCGGCGGUAGCGGGAGCGGAAGGAGCGCGAGGCGCGGGGACGCGCGUGCGCGCGAGUCGGGGAUGCGAGGGCUCUCACGACCCGAACGUGUUGCGACUGCUGGAGGAUGGCGACGCGCUCCAAGAUCUACCUGGUCACGUGUCGUGAGGAGGCGAGGUCGAGUGAGCGGGGGGCACGGCGCCGCGGGCACGGCGCGGGGGACGCGCCGGGCGCAAGGCGCGGGGGUGGGCUCCAGCGCGGGCGAGGGCGGGCGCCGGCGAGGGGCGGACCGAGGGGCGGCACGGGAGCGCGGCCGCGGGUCGCGAGGAGGGCCGAGAGCGGCGACUGCGCGGGGCGCGGGCGCCGCGUGUACGCGCGGGCAAGGUGCGAGGGCGGCGCGGCAGCGUGUGGUGGUGGGUUGCACGGGGUCCACAGGGCCAAAGUGGCCCCGUGGACCACACGAGAGGGAGGUCCACGGUGGACCCUCCCCUAUUCUCUUUCUCUCUUCUCUCUAUAUUAUAUAUAUAAUUUUAUUUAUAUAAUAUAUAUAUAUAAUUUAUUUAUAAAUAUAUAUUUAUGUAUUAUAUAUAGUAUUAUAUAUAUAUAAAAAUAAUUUUAUUUAUAAAUAUAUAUAUAUAUAUAUAUAUAUAUAUAUUUAUCUAUUAUAUACUAUUUAAUUUUUAUAUAGAUAUAUUAAAAAAUAAAAUAUAUAAAUAAAUAUUAAAUAAUUUAGACCUGCUGCAUAUCGUCGCCGCGCUGCGCUACUGCCACGAGCGCGGCGUGGCGCACCGCGACGUCAAGCCGCAGAACCUGCUCCUCGCCCGCGACGGCGCGCUCAAGCUCUCCGACUUCGGGCUCGCCGCGCUCGCAGCGCGGUCGCGACGGGCGCCUACACACGGCGUGCGGGACCCCGGCCUACGCGGUACUCUUUAUUAAUGGCUCGGAGACUUUCUUUUGAGUUGAUUAGAUGCCAUAGAAGCUUUAAUUUCAUUUAUUUAUUGGAAGGGCCCAUAGGAUUAGUUUGUUUUAAUUGUACGAACAUAUAUUUUUUCUACGGCAUUUCAUCCUCUCUCUCAGCUUCAUUUUUUUUUAUAUAUAUUUCUUUUGCGAUGCUCUUUGGAUGCAAGAUAGUAAUCAGUGCUCAUUUUGUGAAAACUGAGUUGCUUUUCCAAGGUAAAUUAUGUAAGAUUUGGACUGUGUUGAUAGAAUUUAUUAGUGUGCAACGAAAGAAGUUAACUAGAAAAUGAGUUUUUAUUCUCCCUUAUUUGUGUUAGUCCCCUGAAUUAUUUAUCUGAGUAUCAAAUUGUAAAAUGAAGUGAAUCGUAUCUAGGCUUUUUCAAGCAUGUGGUAAAUUUCUGGGUUUCACUUCUAAUGCUACGGGUACGACGGGGCGCGCGCCGAAGCGUGGUCGUGCGGGGUCAUCCCCUUCGUGCUCCUAGCGGGACGGCUCCUCUUCGACGACGCCAACAUCCCGCUCAUGUACCGGAGGAUCCACCGGCGCGACUACGCGUUCCCGCCUUGGGUCUCCCCCCUUCUGCAACCACCUCAUCUCCCUCUACGCGUGAUGCCGCCUUCCCGUCGCCGCCCGCAAGGUGUUCGACAAAAUCCCCCAAUUAAAAUUUUCUAUUUAAAUUUAUAUAUAUAUAGAAUAAUAUACAUAUAUAGAGAGAGAGAUAUAGAAUAUAUAUUCUCUCUCUCUCUUUUUUUUUUCCUUUCCCAAUUUUUUUUUUUAGUAUUGUGAUUCACAUACAAAAAAAUAAAAAUUUAAAUUUAAACUUUAAAUUUAAAUACAACAAUUAAAAUUUUCUAUUCAAAUACAUAUAUAUAUAUAGAGAGAUAGAAUAUAUAUUCUCUCUUUCUCUUCUUUUUUUUUUUUCCUUUCCCAAUUUUUUUUAGUAUUGUGAUUCACAUACAAAAAAAUAAAAAUUUAAAUUUAAAAUUUAAACUUCAACAUUUUAUAUUCUAAAUUUAAAUUUAAAUUUUAAAUAAUAAAAUAUUUUAAAAUUUAAAUAUUUAAUUAUUUAUUUUGAUUUUUCUUCGUAAAUUUUUCGCUGCGAAGCGCCGGCCUUCACUCGUCUAUAUUUAUUUUAUUUUUCAAAAUAAUCUAAUUUUUAUUUAAAUAUAAAAUUAGUCUAAACCGUUCUUAUUUAUAAUCGAACCAAGCGCAACCUAACGGCUUUCUUCUCUCCCAAAAACCCUAAUAAAACCUAAUCUCCUCUCCCCGACUCCGUCACAGGCACCUCCACCUCCACCUCCGGCCGCCGGAUUCCUCUCUCUCCCACUCUCUCAAUCUUCUCUCAAUCCCUCUCUCCGUCUCUGUUCUUCCUUGGCGACCCGAGUUGCAAGGAGGGCCGCGCCUCUCCCCUCGGGCUCUCCCCGCGUCGCGGACGUCCGGCGGUCCUCCCUCCCCGCCGACCCCCAGCUCCGCCGAGGCCGCGGAGCUCCUUCACGAGCAGCCUCAGGUAGAAGGGAGUUAUCCAGUACCUAGGGGCGUUGGUUUUGGUUUUGGAUUCUAAAGAGAGGCGUUUCUUGAAAGUAUAGGAGACUGCAUAUGUAAGAAAUUCUAAUGCCGAAAUAGUUAUUCCCUGAUCAUCCUUCAAUCACGUGCGAUUGCUCCUGGUGUACCUUUUUUUUUUUUUUUGCUUCUUUUUGGCAUAUGUAUCCCGAUCAACGUUGUGUGUUAGUCCUUCACGUCUUCUUACUUCAAUAAUAGAAAGCAUUCUUUGUUGUGCAUAUUAGUCUUAACUGUGCUUUUUUGUGCAUGUUAGUCUUAGCUGUGCAUAUUAGUCUCUAGGACAAAGCGGAAGAAAGCAAUUUUUUUUUUUUCUUUUUUUUUCUUUUUUUUCUUUUUGUUUAACAUAUCAAGGGAGAGAGUUUAGUGUGACAGUUGUCCCCAUGUAGACUUUUAAGUCUAAAAAUUUCUCAUGUACACGUUUGUUUAUUAAGACGUUCUUAUAUAUUCAUUUUAGCGAACAGUAUUGUCUCCUAUACGUGAAUGACCAAGUAAAAAUCAUAGACAAAGUCGUAUUGUGGAAGAGAGUAGAUUCAAUUGGAAGCCUUGUAGAGGUAAUUAUCAGAAAUAUUGAAAUGGUCCUUGAAACUUCGUAAACGAUGUCUUUCUUUCACCUAUUAGAGGAAAACGGCACAAAAGUAUCAUCUCAGGAGAUCCCAACUAAACGAACCUUGUAUUACGUGUUUUAGAACCUCCCCAAAGUUUUUGUUCGACAAGGUAGGGUGUUUUUCACGUACAAGAGUUAGCUAGGACGACAACCCUAACAGGUCUAAAACGUACUGGGACUUUUUCUCAUUGUCUAAUUAUGGUUAAGGUAUCAUAAUCAUCCUAUUUAACGUAAUGAUCCGAUAGGUCUAUAAUGUUGAAUCCGGGAUUUGAAGAUGAAUUUGUAGAAUAAAGGACUUUAAAAAGUAUAUUACCCCAAGGUAGGAACUUGUAGGCGAAAAGUCCAUUUCCUUGAAGGUCAAAAUCAUGGACUUUGUUCCAAUUUUCCAAUGAAUGUUCCUUUAGUACUCUUCAGUCUAAAAAACUACCGGCCUUGCCUUAUCGUUACACUCCUUCAAGUUCGUGGUUGCACAAUUUCGCUUUUCAAAUUCACCGGUUAUUACCUUAACGUCAUAGUCUUUCAAGUUCCUGUUUUCACAAACUCUCUCUUCAAAUCUCCGACAAAGUUAUAAGAGGUUUUAAUUAAUCAAAAGUAUCGAUCGUGUUGUCUUAUGGUUCUCUGAAAGUUUAAUUGUGUUAAUCUUACAGACCAACACAUUUACAUUUUUUUUAGGAUGUCCUUUCGUUAAGACUUUUGGAUGAAAUAUGGUCUAGAGGAACUAGGCUAUUUUUCUAAAAUUUAAUGGAUUGCCCAAUACAACUAUAUUAAAGUAAUGGUAAGGGAGUUCUUGUACCAAUACUAUAAAAUACGGAACCGAGGUGGUAGUUUUGUAAGUUUCAAUCUAUCUCUAACUUUCCUUAAGAAUAAGUAGUUUCGUACGUUUGUUAGUCGAUAUUAUUUUAGGUAAAACCAGUAGUUUUAAUUUGGAUAUUUAAACCUCCACUUUUAAGUGAAUGAUAUGUCAUCUUCUAAAAAUAGGAGGAAAAGAUUACGUCGUUUGGGAACUGACUGAAGAGUGUGUCUUUUUAUGUCAUGUUCUUUUACACUUAGGUCGGAGUAUCAUAACAACUAAAUGGACUGGUGACGUAACAACCUCUGAGAAUUCCACAAGGGACUAAAAGAGACGUCACUUACAUAGCUGUUCACUUUGGUGAAAUUAAGAGCUUAAAGGGUUUAAACUAAGUCAUUGGUGACCUCACUGUUGAACAUUCCUUAGUCCGAACGUAAGACAUAGCCCGUGUUUUAGUGACGGGAGUAAGACUUAAGCACUUAAAAGAACGUAGAGCUGGUGUUGAGACUGAGGUUAAAGUAAGACUAAAAAACAAAAAAGAACAUCGAACUCGUGCUAUAAUGGCAGGAGCAGGAAUUAUACACCCAGAAGAACGUAGGACUGCUGCUUCAGUGACAGGAACAAGACUUAAAGACGUAAAAGAACAUAAAGUCGACGUUGUAGUAGCUGGAGUAAGAAGUAGAAACAGAAAAGAACGAGAGCAACGUGAAAUCAGAGAAGGUCGGAGUGUUCCAAGCGUAAGGUCAGCAGUCGAAAUCUUCAUCUUCUCAGGUUUUUAAAGACUAAGUAUCUGUGUAGAACUUAGAGUCUCGAGUGUAAGCAUCUGUAGUGACAGGGAACUUUACAAGAGCUACUUGGAACCCUUCUUCUUGGUAAUCUUAAGUCCCGUCCGGCAACAAGAAAUUUUCAAAGUAAAACUGACCUCUCUUUCCGUGAUGUCGAAAGUCAGGAUGUUGCAAAACGUCCACCGUCGACCAGUCUUUGAAGACGAUUAAAAGAGGUCUGACCUGGUGUGUUGACCGUAAGUUAACUCGCCGUGAAGGAUAUUACUAGCUAAUCAUGGGACCCGGGUAUUGUUGAAAAAAGCGUCGGAAAUUGUAAUGUUAAGUUUUACACUAAUUCGAAGAGAAAUUUUAAACCUGUUUCCACAUGUAGUGUAAGGGAAAGUGCUUCACUCGUCGAGCUAUGUACAAGUAUUUCUUUAUCUUUUAAUUAGUUAAAGAGGUUCGGGUUAAACAAUGAGCUCCAUCCUCUGAAAAGUACUCAAAGACGUUGUAAUAACAAGUGGACUCGUUUUAGUUAAUUAAAUAACUAGGUGACACUUCCCGGAUGUCAUAAAAAGAGUCAGUUGUGGAAAACGACGGGUUUCAAUAGAAGAAAAACGUUAUGUACCACUACUAACAAUGAUUUAACCCAUAGGACUUUUCUAACGGGAACAUUGUUUAGUACACGGAGGGAUUAACUAAGACCUUUAAGCACUUACGAAGCACCGACGAAGUUACGGGGAUUCGGGUUUUGUCUUCGGUAAGGUCGUGCCAGGUCAUUGGGUCCCCUAAGCGUUAACUUAAAUAGGUAUUUUAAUCUAAAGGACGUUCUUGGUUCACGACUAUCUCUACUUAACGUGUAGGUUCCUUGUGUACGAAGUCUCGGGCUCGAGUUUACACAUAAUAGACGGUUCAUGUACACACUAUGUUAAUAUUUCUAUUUUUUUCUUUCGUAGUUCUAGUAUUUUCUUGAUAAUUUUCGAAGUUUUGUAUAUUAUAUCUAGCCUAAGUGUAUUUGAAACUUUUAGUGAAAACGAAUCUAGAACAGCCAUCGAUGUACGUAUUCUUUAGGCUUGUCUUACGUUGACUCUGUUCGUCUUGGAGGGUAAUUUUAAUUGUGUGGUACGUUUCUUAUUGAUCAUGGUAUAUAUAACAUGACGAGUUUCUAGUAAGAUCAAACUAGUAACUCUCUGGAGCUAGGUAAUAGUGCAUGUGUAUUAUAUAAACUUGAACGAGGCAACAAGACCUGUCGAGAACGAUUGUUUCACAAUGUCCCUCAUCUUGUGUUUAUACUACUUAGUCUUCGAACUACUCGCUUUAAACAAGGGUUUUACGACGGUUAACUUAGGUAUUGAGAUGGCAAGCUUGUUCUUCUCUUCAAUCGUUGGUGAGAUACGACAGGUAAUCCAGCUAUAGGACGUUCUCUGGUAUAUUAACAACGAUUUUAUUACGUCUCCUCAGUUUAAAGUGUUUGAAGAGAUAAGUUAAGUUGAGUGAUACUUUUCUUCCAGUAAUGGUUCGCGACAUCUCUUCAAUCUUUAUCUCCUCGGUACUUAACUAAGUCCACGGUUUAAUCGUCACUAAGAACUUGAUCUAACUUUUCCUCCGCGGUUGAGGCUUGAGUUAACACCUCUGGGGUAAUUUCUUCUUAUUGCCGUUCGUCGUAGGUUUCAGGAAAGGGCAUAUUAGCAGAGGUACGUAAAAUUGAUAAAAAGUUUCCAUAUUCUUUUAUUCAUUUAUUUAGCUACCAUAGGGGCCUUUGUUACGAAUUUGUGUUUGAUCAAAGGUUAUUAGUAUUGAUAAAACUUCUCUGGAUGUAACGAUCUUGAUUCUUAUUGGUGUUAGACACCUUUAAAAGGUUAAACACUUUAGGUUCAGUUCUAUUGAUUACUUUAUUGAGAUAACGUCGUGACUUCCAAAACUUUUAAUUGAGACAUAUCUUUCCUUUAGGUUGUGCUCAUAAAACUAAAUGUUAAUUCCUACGUAGAGUGAGUAACCUAUUUGAGAAUUAUUUCUCUAUUGACUAAUAGGACCCGUUAGAACNGAUCUGUGAGACAAGGGAGGGAUCCCAUACCACCCAGCGAAGUGAUGGCCCAGCACUCUCGUAGAAUUAUAGCUUGGAGUGAUGUUAACUUGCCAAGGACAUCUGCAGAUGGCAGACGGGUUACUGUUCUGAUCUCUUCUAGCGACAGGCGGGUGAGGGAGGUAAGAGUUUGUAGGCUUGCCGACAAUGCGCGGUUAGUAAUGUUGCAUCCCUUAAGCCAGAGCUCGGUAAGGGUAGAGGGCAGAAGCAAUUUGGCCUCAUUUUGUCUGCUGUAAAUCAAUUCCAUCUUUCGCUCAUGCACCUCCAACCAUCUCCCCCAGACAGCAGUAAUAUCCACGUCGGCAGCAGGCGCACUCUUAUUAUGCUUUGCAGAGCAAGCUUCAUUGUUGGAGUCAUUCGUUGCGGCUAUGAAAUUCAUCAUUUCUUUCUCAUUGUUGACUAAGGACUCUUGAUAUUGGUGGGGAAACCAUUUCGGCAUCCUUUUCCUCAUGACCUCUAUUAUGGAUCUCUUGUCGGCUGGGCUCAUAUGCAAGUCUUCUUUUGUUACAAAGAUGAGAGACAGUGUAUUUUCUAUUAUGAGUAUUGUAAGCUGUGGUGGAAGGGCAUGUAAUGCUUUAAGUUUAGGAAGAUGCGAGAGCUCAAGUGAUAUGCAUGAUCGGUAAAUCUGGUCCAUCAUCAGUGGGAGCGCUUCUAGCAUUCCACACCACGUCAGUGCAAAUUCCUGAAUAUCGGAUGUUUGACAUUCGGGCCAAGACGGGCACGACCGUCCUCGAUACCCAUCUAAACUCAGGCUGGUAAGAUAGGGAGGCAAUUGGAGGCCCUCGAGAAUUUCGACAUCCAAAUCAGAAUUUACAUUGUCCUCACCAUCGCGCCAUACCAACUGGAGCAUAUCAAGAUGCUCCUUUUCUUUUAAAUUGGCUGCAAUGGCGCUAUCCCUGCUCUCAACAUUCUCGAGAUUAUCAAUGCACAAGCGUCCUCGAAGUUCAUUCAAGUUCUGUAGUUGCUCUAGCUCAUAUCCUUUUUCCUUUUUCACCUGAAAAUGUUUUAGGCCUUGCAAGGAAGUUAACUUGCCAAUGUCAGGUAUCCCCGAAAUUAAAUCAGAAUUUGCCUCUAGAUACCUCAAGCUAACCAAGUUAUUAAGACGUUUAGGAAGCGAGCUAGCGCUUUUUAUUCGCAGCACCUGUAACUGAUACAGAGUACACACCGACUCCGGCAACACGAACACGCUAGUACUCGAUAUUUCUAGGACGCGAAGGUGCUUCAUUCCACUUAUAAACUUUGCCAAAUUUUCUAGAUUUAACUCCAAAACCAGCACACGCAAUUAUUUUAAGCUGAAUUUUUUAAAGCUGUUGGAGAUGUCGGUCGCAACUUGUUCUUUUGAGGUGACGCUUUCUCCUCCCAUGACGAUUAGGGUGCGGAGUUUCCUUAGUUUGCAAAUCCUCUCCUUAUUCUCGUUCAGUUUGUCAGCCGGUAUGCACAGAUGACGAAUAGUUGACGGGAUCUCGGUUCGACGAUUACCUUCUAUUCUAACACAAUAAUUGCGAGUGACCUUUUCUGCUAGAUCAUACAACAAUUCAUGCAACGUGUAGUAGCUGACAAACUUAUAUGCCCCAGAGGAGUAGCUGACUCUGUUAUGACGCUGAAUGUAGAAUCUGGACACCAACUCAUUUAGGUACUUAUUGCCUGCAUCCUCCAUCCGCUUAUUCUGAUCAUCCGGCUUGAUAAAACCUUGCGCCAUCCAGAGAUGGACCAGUUGUAAAGCUUCGAACGUGUGGCCCUUAGGAUACAGGCUGCAGUAUGAGAAGCAACGCUGAAGAUGUGCAGGCAAAUGCCGAUAACUCCACAUCAGUGCUUUGGUUUUGCCGCCGGACCAGUCCUUGUCCGCAAUCUUUCUCAAGUAUGUAUGCAAAUUACCUUGCGAAUGGGGGAGGUCGGCAAUCUUCAUAGCAAUCGUCUUGCCGACCAUCUCGGCCGCUGUAGGGUCCUUGUUCAACUUCCCAGCAAUUAUCUUGCAUUUCUUUUCUAGAUCGUCUCUUAGGCACGCAUGCAUUUCCCUGCUGGGCAAUGCGUAGUGAAUGAAAAGAUCCGAAAAGUAAUUCUCUUCCAUAUCUUCCAACGGGACAAUGUGUUCUACGGUAGCACCAAUAGCAGCAGCAAUCUUUCUCGGCGCAUCGUCGGUUUGAGACGUAACUAAAAUCUUGCUCCCCGGCAAACAACAACACUUGCUUAAACAUCUGAAUAGUGUAUCCCAAUUCUUCUCGUGGUCUUCUCCGUGGCACCAAACAUCAUCUAUCACAAGGAGGAACAUCUUCGCAUUUAGCUUUUUGUUUAUUUUCAGUUGCAGCGCUUCAAGCGAGUUGAGGUUACCGAGAUCUUCUUGAGGCUCACCUGCGAUAGAAGCUUGUUGUACGAUGUCUUUCAUAAUUCCGGCUGCGUCGAAGUUGCGAGACGCGUAGACCCACAUGAUGGGAUGAAAAUGCUGUCCAUCACCUAAUUCACUCCUCAGCUGCUCGUAAACAUACUGCGCGAGAGUAGUCUUCCCGACCCCCGGGCGGCCGACUAUGGCAAUUAUAGGCACUCCCGACGAUGAUCCAGGCCUGCGAAUUGCUGCUGCAGGAGGUUCUGUUUUCAAACGAUGGAUGAUUUUGUGACGAUCUUCGUCGCGGCCAAACACCUGUUGCCGAGGCAGCGAGAUGGUCUACCUGCUAUCGGGCACUGCUGCCGUCUGAUCAGGCUGGGCGCCUAACAAAUCGCCCGGCUUCUCGGCAUCGCUGGCUUUGUAUUCAAGCUUGUUCAGCCUGCGCUUCAGCUUGAUCUCUCGAGGCGACAGCAUAUCGCGACCAGCUUUCAAGACUGGUACAACCCAUUUCACAAGUUUUGGUACGUUGAAAGGAGAACAUACCCGAUUAAUUUGCCUCUUUCUGCUCCUCGCUACCGCCGCCUCCGCCUCUGCCGCCUUGCGUUCGAGCCGCCGGUAGUUGAGGAGGUCAGCACGUCCUCCGUGCUCUGCAGACCGCUCUCCACCUCGCUCCAUUGCGCGCUGUCUUCCAAUUUCUCCAUCACCUCUGCUGCAGGCUCCAUUUUCAGGAGCUGGAUGAUUUCUUCACGAUCUUCGUCGCGGCCGAACACUCUCAGCGGAGGCACUGAGAUGGCCGGCCUGCUGUCAGGCGCCGCUGCUGCCGCUGUCUGAUCGGGCCAUGCGCGUAACAAAGCGCGGAGUUUCUCGGCUUCGCUGGCGAUCAUUUCCAGCUCGUUCAGCCUUCGCUUCAGCUUGAUCUUUUGAGGCGACAGCAUGUCCCGAACAACUUUUGGCACCGGAUUACUUCGCCUCCUAGUACUACUACUGCUUGCUGUCGCCACCUGCCGUCUGAGGCGGUCGUAGUGGAGGAGGUCCAGCGCGUCCUCCGCGUCGUCGUAAGCGUCUUUCAGCCUCUGCAGCCAGCCCUCCACCUUCCUAUGGUGCCGGCUGCCUUCCGCUUUCUCGAUCACCGAUUUCAGCACCGGGAGGAUGUUUUGCUCCAUCUCUUCCAGCCUUUUCUCCGCGUCGAUGCCUAGGCUGUCGAAGCCUUCGUUGAGCAGCUUCGCCACGAGGGGAGACGCCACCCAUACCUCCGCUGCUACUCCGAUCGAUUCGACUACUGGCAUUGCUGUUGUUGCAAUAGGAAUAGAAAAAUUAAAAAUAUAUAAAAAUAGAAAGUAAGAAAUUAGCUAGAGUAAAAGAACGAAUGAAUUAAUAUGCGGACGAAGAAUGAUUGAUUUGUACGGUCAUAUCGCGGUGUAUACAAAAACAUUAUUCGCUAUUUCUUUCGCGGUCAAUUCAAACGGAUAGUUAGCAUUAAUUAAUAUUUUUAUUAUAUUUUAUUUUAAAUUAACUAAAUUUAAAAUUGAAUUAGAAUUAAGCUUUUUAAAUUUUAAAAUGAAAUUUUAAAAUUUAAAAUAAUUAUGAAAUUUAAAAUAUUAAAAUUUAAAAUUAAAUUUAGAUUUAAGCAUUGAAUUUAAAAUUAAAAUAAAAAUUUGAAAUUUGAGUACAAAAUCAGAAUCAAAUUUAAAGAAGUAGCUUUUUUCUGCUCUUGAUUUUAGGCUUUUAAAAAAAAUUUCUAAUUCUGAAAAGCAAAAUCGGAUUUGAAAAAUAAAAUUGUGAAAGGGCUUUUUUAUAAAAUAACCUUAUAAAAUUUUAUACUUGGCAAAAUUACUCUGCCAAAAAAAAUUUGUAAAACUAACCCUCCUUUCGCCAUGUGGGCGCCACAUCUGAUUUUCCUCACAAAGACGUCUUUGUGAUUCUGUGGUUAAGGCGGUGAAUGAUUCACCACCUUCAGUGCAAAACCCCACCCGCUUCCCCUUAUAAGACCUCUUUUCCAACUUCAUCCUAACAAUUCCGUCUUUUCUGUGUCCCCGUCUUCUCGAGGGCAUAGGAAAGGAAAAGUGCAAGGGAUUUGCCCUAAAUGCAGUAAGUGGUUUAUCGCCUUUAGAAAGCGGUGAAUCAUUCACCGUCUUCAUAAGAAAUAUACAAAGACGGUGAACGAUUCACCGUCUUUGUGAGGAAUACUGACAUUGCGCCCACGUGGGAAAAGGAUGGUUUAUUUUACAAAUAAAAUUUUUACAGAAUCAUUUUGCUAAUUAUAAAUUUGUAGAGAAUUAUUUUAUAAAAAAACCCAUUGCGAACAUUCGGGGGAAAAUUACUUUUCAACCUCAAAGUACAUUUUAAAAGUUAGACCUACCACUAGGGGUGUAAUGUGGGCCGUGCCGGCCCACAUUUUCCGGGCCGAACCGGGCUGGAGAGUGGCGCGGCCCGGCCCGUGGCUAAAUCCGGGCCGAGCCGGGCCGGGCCUGAACUCCCAACCAUCCGGCCCAGCACGGCCCCUGCGCCCGGAAGGCACGGGCCGUGCCGGGCCGGGCCGUGCUCCGAGCCGGCUCCUUUUUUUAUUUUUUUAAAAAUGUACAUAUAAUUUAAAAAAUAUAAACAAUAAAUUAUAUUUAUAUAAACUGAUAUUUUGACUAAAAAAUUUAAAAUUUAUAAAAAUAAUUACAAAAAAUAAAUAUUUUAAAUUUAUUUAAUAUAUUUUUUAUUUUUUUUUUGAAAAAAAAAAGUUGAGAAGGGUUUUUGGUCCAAUGGACCAAAAUUGCUUUGGUCCAUUGGACCAAAAUCACUCCUCCCAAGGGAGGAGCUCUCCUUGGGAGGAGGGCUAAGCCCUCCACCCGAGGAGAGCAAACCCCAGGCCCAAGGCGAUUCCGUGCCGUGCUGGCCCGGCUGGCCCGGCGGGCCGUGCCGUGCCGGGCCACGGGUCUCUCCUCGGCCCGGCGCGGCCCAGGCACGUUUGGGGCCGUGCCGUGCCGGGCCGUCGGGCUCCAAAUGUGAGGCCCAGCAGGGCCCGAAGUGCCUGCCGGGCCCGGCCCGGCCCGGGUGCUAAGGCCUGGCCCGCAGCCGUGCCGGGCCGGGCGGCCCACGUGCCGCCCGGCCCGUUUUACACCCCUACCUACCACCCCUAGGUCUGCUUGGACCUUUGCUUACUUAGAAGAUGUCUGACCCAUGGUGUCAUGGUAUCUGGAAGCAUUCUAAAAGCCAGCUGAGCAAUUGAAAAAGUUGGAUGAAGUGUAUUAGAUGUGUGGGGAAUUCGCAUUUGUGGCUCGAGACAAGCAACAACCUUUUCGAUCUGGUCGAGCAGAAAUUCUACACCAUCACAUUUGCACCACGUUAUUAAUAACAAAUUAAUUAUUUUUUUUUUCAAAUCAAACUACAAUAAAAAUAUUUUUUUAUAAUCAUGAUAGGACAUAUAGCUCUAAAAAGAGAUAUUUGAUUGAUUUUUACGCCACAUCACCAAUAUAUACCCGUUGCAUUCAAAAAAUUUUCUGGUCAAGUGGACUAGUACUAUACUAUAUUAAGAGAUCUUUAAUUGCAUUUCUUUAUCGUACCAAAGAAUAUUACUGUACAUAGUUAUACAUAAAUCUCAUAUCUCAUCUACUUUACUAUUAAAAAGAAAAAAAAUGAUAAAACCAGCGAAAAUAUAAUGGUUUUUAGAUGAGUAAGACAAUCCGAGGAAUAAAAAAUUAAAAUAUAAAAAUAUAGAGUAAGAAAUUAAUUAGAGGAGAGGAAUGAAUGAUUGGCUGUACCGUCAUAAUCAUACAAUCCGAGGAAUGAUGAUUGUACGGUCACCACAAAGUCAAUCUAAACUUACCACUUGCUGGUCGGUGUCUACUGCUAAGUGUUAGUGACCCAAAAUAAUUUUAAUAAUAAUGGUGGUAAACCGUGUGUGUAGAGUCCGGCAGGAUACUAUCGAUAGCACGAAAUAUUUAGUGCUAUCAAGUUUUCUACCGUUAGAUUUAUCCCGUUUAUCAUUUUCAUCCAUUCGAUUAUACUAUUCAACUAACUACCCACUCAAUCCUAAAGGGACCACAUCAGCCUAAUUGUGUAGAUCAAUUUCAACAUUUCUAAACAUUUCUAAUUGUGCAAAUCAAUUUCAACAGUACCGAUUAUCAAUUUGAAGUUCCGAUCAUUCAAAUCGACUUGAUAGGACAAUGUCCUCAAUCCUAUUAAUAGGAUAGUAGAUGGACCCUAUAUAUAUAUAUAUAUAUAUAUAUAUAUAUAUAUAUAUAUAUAUAUAUAUAGUUGAGCUAGAAUACUAUCGAUAACAAACGGGUUCCGUUGCCACCCAUUUGUUUUCGAUGAUAGAGCCUCCAAAUCGACGAUCGGCACCGUUGAACAUAAUCUAUACCACUUGAAGUGUUUAGAAAUUAAAUUUCAAAUUUUUUCGACAUCAAUUGCCUAAUGAUCAAAGGGUUUCAAAAUUUAUAAUUUUAAUUGUCGAUAUGAGGUGUGUUCUCGUUUAACGGCAUAAAAAUAUGUAUACAAAUCAAUUGAAUUUUUGUUAGAAAAUUCUUUAAACUAUUUAAAACAAGAUCUAUACUCUUGAUCUUGAUUACAAGAUCCUAUCAUGAUUUUUUAAAGAAUAUUCAUUUUCAGCCGUUCAUUUUCAUGUCCACUCGAUGGAUAAGAGAAUAAUAUCGGAAAUGUAUGAAAUUUGACUUGUAAACACUUCAAGUGGUAUAGAUCAUAUUCAACAGUGCCGAUCGUCGAUUUGGAAGCCCCAUCAUCGAAAACAAAUGGGUGGCAACGGAGCUCAUUUGCUAUCGAUAGUAUUCUAGCUCAACUCUAUAUAUAUAUAUAUAUAUAUAUAUAUAUAUAAUUGAGCUCCUAUGCUUUUAAAAGUAUCAAGUUAUUGGUGCUUGUAAGUUUUUAGCCCUUGGAUUAAUAGAUGUGCGGUGAGGAUAAUGUGGGCCCCCUUGGGUUAAGUAGGUAGUUGGUUGAAUAGUAUAAUCUAACGGAUGCAAAAGAUCAAAAUCGUAGAUCUAACGGUAAAAAAUUCACAAGCACCAUGUGCUUAGUGCUUUCACAAGCACCAUAGCCGGACUCUAUAUAUAUAUAUAUAUAUAUAUAUAUAUAUAGAGAGAGAGAGAGAGAGAGAGAGAGAGAGAGAGAGAGAGAGAGAGAGAGAGUUGAGCUAGAAUGUUAUCGAUAGCAAAUCGGCACGUUUGUCACCCAUUUGUUUUCGAUGAUGAAGCCUCCAAAUCGACGAUCGGCACCGUUGAACAUGAUCUAUACCAUUUGAAGUAUUUAGAAAUCAAAUUUCAUUCAUUUUCGAUAUUAUUUUCUUAUCCAUCGAGUGGACAUAAAAAUGAACAGCUGAAAAUAAAUAUUCUUAAAAAAAUGAUAAUAGGAGUCUUGUAAUCAAGAUCAAGAGUAUAGAUCUUGUUUUAAAUAGUUUAAAAAAUUUUCUAACAAAAAUUCAAAUGAUUUGGAUAUCUUUACGCCGUUAAAUGAGAAAACGUCUUAUAUCGACCAUUAAAAUUACAAAUUUUGAAACCCUUUGAUCAUUAGGCAAAUGAUAUCGAAAAGAUUUGAAAUUUAAUUUCCAAAUAUUUCAAGUGGUAUAGAUCAUGCUCAACGGUGCCGAUCGUCAAUUUGGAGGCUCUAUCAUCGAAAACAAAUGGGUGGCAAAAGUACCGGUUUGCUAUCGAUAGCAUUCUAGCUCACCUCUAUAUAUAUAUAUAUAUAUAUAUAUAUAUAUAUAUAUAGUUGAGCUAGAAUACUCCUAAAAGCACCAUGAUAGUGGUGCUUUUGAGUUUUUAACCUUUGAAUGGAGAGAUAUAGGAUUGGGAUGAUGGUGGUAGGUGACGGUAGGUGGUGGUAGGUGGAAUAGUGUUUGAUCCAAUGGCUAUUAGUAAUCAAGGAGUAGAUCUAAGGGCUAAAAACUUAGAAGCACCAAAGGCUUGGUGCUUCUAACAGUAUUCUAACUCCACUCUCUCUCUCUCUCUCUCUCUCUCUCUCUCUCUCUCUCUCUCUCUCUCUAUAUAUAUAUAUAUAUAUAUAUAUAUAUAUAUAUAUAUAUAUAUAUAUAGGCUGAGGCUACUGUACUCAUAUGAGUAUAGAGCUCUUUGUUCUCAUAACUUUUUGGCCGUUCAGAUGAAAAAAUGUGCGGUUAGGAUGAGAGUGGUUACGGUUAGAUUGAUAGUGGGCCUCCUAGGAUUAAGUAGUUGGUUGGUUGAAUAGUAUAAUCUAAUGGGUGAAAAUGAUUAAAUGAUAGAUCAAACGGCAAAAAACUUAUGAGUAUAAAAAACUCUAUACUCAUAAUAAUAUAGUAGCUGGACUCUAUAUAUAUAUAUAUAUAUAUAUGCUGGGGCUACUAUACUCAUAUGAGUAUAGAGCCCUUUGUAUUCAUAAGUUUUUAGCUUUUGGAUGAAAAAAUAUGCGGUUAGGAUGAGAGCGGUUACGGUUAGGUUGAUAGUGGGGCCCCUAGGGUUGAGUAGAUGGUUGGUUGAAUAGUAUAUUCUAACGGGUGAAAAUGAUUGAAGGGUAGAUCUAACGACAAAAAAUUUAUGAGUACAAGAGGCUCUAUACUCAUAAGAGUAUAGUAGCCGGAUAUAUAACCGCCGCUAUACCCUCACCCUGAGCUGGCUCAGGUACGCGAGUCGAGGGUGCGGGCACAUCACGUCCGUCCGUCACCGUUGCGGCCGCCGCCGCAGCCUGCCGCUCCAAGAGCUCCUGAAACCGCUCGAAUCGGGUCUCCUGGCACUGCACCACAUUGGUCAACGCGGCCACUUGCGCCUGCAACCGAUCCAUCACACUCAGUUCAGCCUGCUCGGGCACCUCCGGAGUCGGUGCCGGAGUAGAUCUACAUGUGUAGCGUCUUGGAGACAUUAGUCCCUAAAACGCGAAUACUUGGUCAGUCAUCUUAACCAAUUAUCUCGUCGAAAUUAUGACACAUGACGACUCAACCCCAAAAUCGGGCGGAAGCACACAAGUGUACUCGUUCUAGACUCUUGGUAUCAUGUCGUCGGCCGCCGACACAACCACCUCAAGAUAAGAUAUAUAUAUAUAUAUAUAUAUAUAUAUAUAUAUAUAGUCUGGCUACUAUAUUUUUAUGAGUACGAUCGUCUUUGUAUUCAUAAGUCCUUUUUUAUGAUAGAGUUUUCAAAUCGACGAUUCAUGUCGUUAAGCAUUAUAUAGAACAUUUAAAACAUCUAAAAAUCAAUUUUCAUAAUUUUUCAAUAUCAUUUACCUUAUGAUCAAAAUGUCACACAAGUUGACAAUUUUUAACCGCCGGUAUAGAAUACUUGCUAGUUUAACGGUAUAAAAAAAUUGGAAUGACUUGAAUUGUUGAUAGAAAAUUCUAUUCACUAUCUGUAUAAGGAUCAAUAACUCCGAUCUUAAAUUGAAGUAUCCGAUCAUCUAUUUUUAGGACGUUGUUCAAUUUUGACCGUUUAUUUUAUGCUCGCUUGAUAAAUUUUAUUAUGAUUUUGAAAAAUUACGAAAUUUAUUUUUUAGAAGUUUCAAAUACUUUAGAUCAUAUUUAACUAAGUGAAUCGUCAAUUUGGAAGCUUCAUCAUCAAAAAUAACUUAUGAGUAUGAAGAACUCUAUACUCAUAAGAUUACAGUAGCUAGAGAUGUCAACGGGUCGGGUUCGGGGCGGAUUUUUAAAAACCCGAACCCGAACCCGACUCCAAACCCGAAUCCCGAACUCGAACCCGAACCCGAACCCGACGGAUUUUAAAAAUCCAUAUCCAAACCCGAACCCGACCAAAAAUCCGAAAUCCGAACCCGAACCCGAACCCGAAAAUUUGAACCCCGAAACAAUUAUUUCUUUUUUCAAUAUUUAAAAAUAUAUUAUAUUAAAUCUAAAUUUUUAAAAUACAAAUUCAAAUAUAAUAUCAAAUUUUUAUAUAUAUAAUACAAAAUAAAUUCGGGUUCGGGUCGGGUUUGGGUCGGGUUCGGGUUCGGGUCGGGUACAAUCAAAAUCCAUAUCCGAAUCCAUAUCCGUCGGGUUUUUAUUUUUUAUAUCCAUAUCCAAAUCCAUAUCCAUAUCCAUAUCCAUCGGAUAUAUCCGUUUCAUUCGGGUUCGGGUUCGGAUAAAAUUUCGGGCAUCCAUACCCAUUGACAUCCCUAAUCGCAGGUUUCAUAAAAGCAAAUUUAAUAUGUUUAUGUUUCAUAUAUAUAUAUAUAAUUUUGAAGAAAAGACAGCUAAUCAUACUUUUUUUAGUAUUGCAAGCCUAUAUAUAUUUAAUGUCAUUAUCCAUUAAGAAUUUAAGAUUAACUUUAAAAUAUUUAGCAAACCAAAAAGAUAUAAAACUUGAAAAUCUAUAAUCCAUUAACAAUGUAUCAUUCUUUUAACCCGUUUGCACUUUUU
rnacentral:lncRNA from 1 species